rnacentral:lncRNA from 1 species
AUGCUCCUCACCACUUCGUUAGAAGUUUUGUCAACCUUUUCUUAAAAGUUAUCCGCUUCCAAGAUAUCUGAAAAACUCGGAUCUAGGUUCCGUCACCUUGAAGUUUCCUCUCUUUACUUUCCUCUCUGUCUCCUCCUCCUCCUCCUCCUCUUCCUCCUUCUUUUCAUCCUCCUCCUCCUCCUUCUUCUUCCUCUCCUUCCUCUCCUCUUCUUCUUCUUCUUCUUCUUCUUCUUCUUCUUCUUUUUCUUCUUCCUCUCCCUCUCUCCACAUCUUCUCCCCUUUUACCUCGCUACCGCGUCAAUGCAUAGAAAUGUUUUUGUUUCAUUUCGUACUUUGCUUUUAUUUUUGUUUCCUCCCCUCACCACAUUCAUUUGCACUCAUUCUUUUGCCCUCAGUCAAGGAUCUAAGAAACAUUUAUUCGUAUUCACAAUUCAGAAAACCGUUUCAAACCUGACUAGGCCACGUUCCUUUAUUAUUAAACUGCCUUACUCUCUCUCUCUCCCUCUCUCUCUCUCUUAUUCUUUCCCCGCCGCUCUCUCUCCCUCUCUCUCCCUCAUCCUAUCAUAAUCACAAACAACUCACCAGUCACCGAAAAAGAGAAAGAAAGGAAUAAUGAUAACAAUACUAAGCUAAAGACAAAAAUAAAACUGAUCCUUUGUUUUCAUUCUUCCUUUUCUUUGCUUUCUUUUCUCUUUACUUUUUUUUUCUUUCUCCUCGAAAACCAGAAUUUACUUUAAAUCUUUAGAUGUUAUCCUCACGCCUCUUCCGCCUGAUUGAAAAUAUGGGACAGAAUUCUAACAAAGAAAACUAUUGCCUCAUAAAAAAUAGCCGCCAGCUUGUAAGCUCAGCCAUUUAACUUUUCACAGAUCAUUGCCACAUAUUCUUUGAUCUCUUCUUAUCCUUUGCCAAUACAGUCUUUGGUGUUUAUUCAAAUGAGCUUAUCUUAACUGUGUUUCUGGUACUACUAGCAAUACACCAUACCACAGGUGAUACGUCUCCGAUCUAAAACCAUUGAUAUUUAUAUUAGUUUCAACCGAACAAAGAGCUAUCUCAACUACCAUAAACACAGGCAUCUGCACCACCAUCAGCAACAACAACAACAACAGCAACUAUCAUGACCAAUGCCUUCAUCAGUGACUAUUGCUAAGAUUACAGCAACCGACACUACCUCUGCCACUAAUACUCCUAGUUCCACCAUCAUCACCGUUGUCACAAACAUCAUUGCUACUAUCGAAAACUCUCCAUGUUCUCAUAAGACAGUCGAUUAUUUAUUAUUUACACCAUCACAAUAACUCUACCCUAGAUAACAUCUCUAUCGUUUACAAACACAAGCACACCCAUAUAUAUAUAUAUAUAUAUAUAUAUAUAUAUAUAUAUAUAUAUAUAUAUAUAUAUAUAUAAUACAUAUAUAAUGACCGUGGGAAAAUACCUCAAGGCGUUGUGGAUAAUGAAAUGAGCAGGUCUUAGAUGUAUGAAGAAAGACACUUACACUCAAUAAUAAUAAUAAUAAUAAUAAUAAUAAUAAUAAUAAUAAUAAUAAUAAGAAUAAUAAUACUAAUAACAAUAAUAAUAAUAAUAAUAAUAAUAAUAAUAAUAAUAAUAAUAAUGAUAAUGAUAAUGAUAAUAAUAAUAAUAAUAAUAAUAAUAAUAAUAAUAAUAAUAAUAUUAAUAAUAAUAAUAAUAAUGAAAAUGAUAAUAAUAAUAAUAAUAAUAAUAAUAACAAUAAUAAUAAUAAUAAUAAUAAUAAUAAUAAUAAUAAUAAUAAUAAUAACAAUAACAACAACAAUAAUAAUAAUAAUGAUAAUAAUAAUAAUAAUAAUAAUAAUAAUAAUAAUAAUAAUAAUAAAAAACAGAAACAAUUCCUAUCAUAGUAGGUGCAUUAGGCAUGAUUAAAAAAUAUUCAGACAAAUACAUAACAAAAACACCAGGACUUACAAACACAUAUAACAUACAGAAAAUUGCACUACUAGGCACUGCACACAUCCUACGCAGAACACUUUCCAUACAAUAACCAUCAGAGCAUCACAACAAAUAUCAGCACAUACCCAAGGCACACAGAGCUGCGCUCGGUAGUGAAGUGAAAGCACGCUAUAAAAAAUAAAACUACUGAAUAAUAAUAAUGAUAAUAAUAAUAAUAAUAAUAAUAAUAAUAAUAAUAAUAAUGAUAAUGAUAAUAAUAAUAGUGCCAUCCACCUUGCAGUUACCCAUUACCUUCCUACGAUGUGCUUUAUUUGCAGCUAGCACCAUCUCGAGCGAGGACUACCCUAGAUAACGUUCGCUAUACGUGUACAUAUGUGUUUCUUUGUAUGCAAGUGUGCUUACUUGUGCGCGUACAUAUGUGUAUUGAUAGCUUUCUGAAUGCAUGUGAAUUGGAUGCAUAUAUGUGUAUGUAUGAGUGUGUUUCUGCGUAUAUGCGCGAGUAAUGUAUAUGUGUGUGUGUGUUCAUGUGUAAGUCUAGGGAUAGAUGUGCCUGUAUACAUAAGUUUAUAUUUGUGUGUGUAUAUAUGUUACGUGUAAAUCCAUAUACAUACUUAUUUUUGUAUGCUUAAUGCCUAGCAUCUCUCCUGGCUUCAUGGAUAAUCGCAGUCAGCAUUAUUAAUGCGAGUAGCAAUGAUGAGAAAAGAGUAAUAAAAUAUCGCAGAGCUAUGUCUAGCUUAAUCUCCGGCGGGAUGGUCAUUGUCUUAUGAGGAGGAUAAUUUAUUUAAUCUUAGUUGCUAACCUUGCUAGCGGGUUGCCAACUAUUGGUUUCAACGUUUGGCACAAGGUCAACAAUUUCAGGGGCAGAUGUAAGUCGAUUAAAUCGACCCAGUAUUUAAGUGGUACUUUUUGUUUUCGAACCCGAAAAGAUGAACGGCAAAGUCGACCUUGAAAUCAGACAUAAAGACGGACGAGAUGCCACUAAGCACUUUAUCCGGUGUGCUUCCGAUUCUGCCAGCUCGCCGCCUUAACUAACACUAAAAUACAUUGGUAAUGGUUUCAAUGAAAGACAUUCUUCAGGAUCAUAAAGUACUGAGUUGGUGUUCGCGGGGUUUUAAGUCUGUCACAUGGAAUGGUGGGCUUCUUCAGUCAUAAUUCGCAACCUCUAUAAAAAUGAAGAUAAAAAUACAACCUCUACCUCCAAUUUCAAUAAUUAAAUGAAGUUUAACAAUAAACCAUACGAUGUUAACGACAUAAACAGAAAUGGAAUCUCAGGUGAAAGUGUUACGUCCAACAGGUGUACUAUGCAAGAGUAAGCAGUCACUUGGUCAUCAUCCAACAAUUACUCGGAAGACUUAUUUUAAGUGGAAAUGAAAAGAAGGAUUAGGCAGUUUUCAUUGAGUCUUAUUUGGGAACUAAAACGGAAGAUGUUGGUGAAAGAAUGCUCAUAUAGUGAAAUAACACAUGUAUGUUUGAGUCGAUAGAAAAUAGGUUAAUUAAUCAAGCAUGCAUGGUUCAAAGAAACAAGAGGUUGGCUAACAUUCGUUGAUAUAGAAAGUAUACAGAAACUAAUCAAUGAAGAGACGAUGGGUGUUGAAGAAACAACAAAUGAAAACAUCUAACACUUGGAAGAGCUAAAUUAACUGUAUGGAAAGAAAUUAGGUUGACGUAGAAGUGAAAAAUACAAACGAUGUAAGCAAUGAUGAUGGGACUGAAAAUAUUAAGUAUUUGAAGGGAACACAGGCAAAUAAUAUGGCUAUGGAAAAUUUUGUAAUGUCUAAAGAUUAAGAAGAUAAAAAGCCAAAAUUUUUGAUACGAUGAAAAGAAAUUCUCAGUAAAUCAGAAAGCAUAAAGCUAUUGAAUUUGAGAUGGAUUAACCAAGGAAAACUCCUGACUGGAACAAAAAUAGUUGAUGCCGAAUGUUACAACUACAAACAUAACUGAUGUCCAUAAUUUAAUAGGCUUGCUGUGGUAGGUUCGGUGUAAAAGAUGCAGAGAAAAAAAGAGAGCGACAUCUUGAAUAUGACACAAAGAAACUUAGAAGAGACCUCAGCAUGAUUGAAUGCUGGAACAAAGGUAACUUACAAAAAGAACAUUGGUUUCACUUUGAAUAGAAGUUGAAAGUAUAUGAGAAAGGGUUUACUUUAUUGAUAGAACAAGUCAAGCAAGAUAUAUGUGCAAAAUCGUCCAGGAUAAAAAGAGCAACUAAGUUUGAACGUAACAGAUGUUAUGGAUUAAAACGGAUGCAGUUUUUCCCUAACAUUCGAAGAGAUACAAUACAAACAUUAACACCAAAUGCGAGAAAUGCUAUAAAAAUUCGGACAGGAUUUUAGGGAUGCCGAAAUACAUAUAACGAAAAGAUAGAAUGAGUCAAAAUAUUAAAACUGAAUUAAGUAGUGCGAUGUAACAAGAAUCCAUCUUAAUGGCUAAGGAUAGUGUUGAGCAAUUCUUGGACGACAAUGAGUUAUUGGCAGAAAAAACGGCACAAUCAUUUAAGGGAGAGCAAAUUACUACGAUUUGUCAAGUUUCAUAGUCCAUGCCUGUCAAGAAGCUUCCUUUCGAACCAUAUGGUCCGUAUCGAAUCUGCUUUCAUUUCAAUUUUAUAUGUGUGUAUAUAUGUAUAGAAAGAUAAAGUCUGGGUAUAUAGAUUAUGGCUGGGCGUUAAAUAUAUAUAUAUAUAUAUAUAUAUCUGUGUGUGUGUGUGUGUGUGUGUGUAUCUAUUUAUGUGUGUGUCCUUGUGUCUGUGUAGAGUUUCGGCAAAAGAGACCGAUUGAUUAAGGUACCAGGUUUUAGAAAAAUAACGACUACGGUCGUUACAUUCGACUAAAAAUUCUUCAAGGCAUGGUUGCAGUAUAGUAACUGGAACAAGCGAAAAAAGAAGCCCACAAACUGGCAAGGACCAUCUGAUCAUUGACAAAAUGACGAUGAAAAAUUGCAAGCGAAACAGGCCAGUCUGUGCAUAGAGGGGGUCGUCUUCAGAAACGCUUACGUAAUCUUGGAUUAUAAAGUAGUCAGAAUACUUAGCAGUACUGGCAUAAUGCACUAGAAAAUGAAUUUGAUGGUGAAAAUGAACUGAAGUGGGAUGGGUGAAAGCGUGCAGUAGGUCAAUAAAUUCAAACUGCUUUUCUCUUUGUUGAACCUGUAUUUAUUAGGCUUGUUUUCCCCACGAACAUCCAGCUCAGUACACUUCCUUGUGCAAGACACUGUAUCAGUUGAUUUCCGAUUUGGCCGUGUAAGGAGUUCAGAUGUAUUGUCCGAAAACUUUGAACCGUAUUUGUUAAAAGUGGUAUCUCCAGAGUGAAAGUAUUUCAUUUUGAUUUGUCAAGUUUUAUAGUCCAUGCCUGUCAGUAUCGAAUCUGCUUUCAUUUCAAUUUUUUCUAGAAAGAAAAGUCUGGGUUAAUAGAUUAUGGCUGGGCGUUAAAGUGCGUGCCUUUAUGUAUGAUUGCUGAAGAAGCAAGAGAAGAGCUGCGUAGUGUCAUCUGCAAAGUACUGCGUUUGACUUUAAAAUAAUCUUUAUAUAUAAAAGUGAGGUUGUGUGCUGUCUGUCUCCUACGAUUUAGAUUCCUAACUACUCCCACAUUUUGCAGUGCAGUUUAACCAAAACCGGGUAUCUUAUAGUCGUGAUUCAUAUCGAGCCCUUCUGGGUAUUAACGCGCGUCUACGAUGAGUCUACGAUUUAAAAAAAAAAUUACCAUCAAUUUUUCCCAUUUUUAAUGCACUUUUGGCAUAUAUAAGAGAAGUAACUCUCUAAAAAUGUCUACGAUGAGUCAACGAUUUAAAAAAAAUUUUACGAUAAUUUUUUUUCCAUUUUUAAUGCAUUUGUUUUGCUAUUUUUUGGCUAUAACUCUCUAAAAAUGCUUAUAUAGUUAUUUCCCUUACAAACCCGAGCAACGCCGGGCGAUACUGCUAGUUUCUUAUAAUUUAGGUCUAAGGCCAACAAUUUUAAGGACUAAGUCGAUACACUCAAUUCCAGUAACUGACUGGAACGUUAUUUCGUUCACCUUGAAGAGAAGAAAUGUAAAGUUGACCUCGGUACGAUUUGAAAGUAAGGAGGCUGGACAAAUAGGACAAUGCAAUUUUCCCAACGCUCUAACGAGUCUGCUAAUUCAUUUACCUCCAAUUCGGUUUCAAAUAUUGGUAAGCAGAUCAAUGAAGUAGGGUUAAUGAAGGCAGCGAGCUGGCAGAGACGUUAGCACGCAGGGCGAAAUGCGUAGCCGUAUUUCGUCUGCCGCUACGUUGUGAGUUCAAAUUCCGCCGAGGUCGACUUUACCUUUCAUCCUUUCGGGGUCGAUUAAAUAAGUACCAGUUACGCACUGGGGUAGAUAUAAUCGACUUAAUCCGUUUGUUUGUCCUCUCUGUGUUUAUCCCCUUGUGGGUAGUAAAGAAAUAGAAGUAGGGUUACUGGAAGAACAUCGGCUGCUUUAGUUGUUGAUAUUGCUAUUUUUAUAAUUGUUGUUUUUGUUGUUGGUGGUGGUGGACGUGCUGCUGUUGUUUACCUCUUGGUCAGCCCCAAACAAAGAGACCUAUGCUCGAAAGCGUUCUAGCCUUCUUUCAUAAGGAUAUAUUUGUAUUUUGGACCAUAAUAUUCAGUGUGUUCUUUCACUUUUUAUGAAGCCAAGUUCAAGGAAAAUGUGACUGCUAUUUUUAGCAAGUUGAGUUACCGCGUGGAGCUCUCUUGUUGGCUCUAAAACAAUUUGCUUUUAUGUCAAGUUGGCAUACAAUUAAGGCUUUUAUUGAAGAAAUUUAAUAUAAUUGUGAUUGAAUGAAGCUAGAAAGAGAACACGGCUCGACGAUAAAUAAGUGUGUUAUCUAGCAGAUGGCCUUUUGUUUGGAUGCAGACCAGAACGUGAAACUUGUGCCUUGUAUAAAGUUAGAGGUUCUAUUUGGUAUUAAAGUAUUUGUGACCCCUAAAGGAAACUGAGCUUUGUGAUGCAAACUUUAAUUGUGUAAUACACGUGGUAGCAAAGGAAAUUCAUAUAUAGGAGUAAAGUCAGUAAUUUAUGAGGUGUACAAUAGUUUUAUUGUAUUGUUCAUGUAUAGAGGGACUCUAGCGUUGUGAGUACUUUGUCACUUUGAGUGAGCUUUGUUUGUAGUGGUGUUGAAUGAAACAAUGUUGUCCAGAUAUCAUUGCAAUAUACAUAUGCGUCUUUAUUAACUGAACAUUGUAUCAAUUUGAUGUGGAUAACAAAGGAUAACGAAGGAGUGGUUAAUAACGAGAUGCAAAAUUCAUAGAACAACGAGUUGUUACUAGCGAGUUAUAAGAUACUCUACACUAUAGAGAUAGAUAUAGAAGUUGCACUCCGAUAUACAAGUAAAAUCAAGACACUACAGAAGCAAUGCCUUUCUGAAGACUUACCGUAACGCAAAAUCUCGUAAGAACGAAAUUAAUUAACCCAUUCCGUGUUCAAGUUAUAAAGUGAUAAUGCAUCCCGAAAGAUGUUUUUAAAAUUAAAAAACAAAAUUUAAAAGAAAAAAAAAAAAAACAUUUUUAUGCAUGAAGAUAGCAGUUUCUAAACACACAGUGAAAUAUAGGCGCAGGAGUGGCUGUGUGGUAAGUAGCUUGCUAACCAACCACAUGGUUCCGGGUUCAGUCCACUGCGUGGCAUCUUGGGCAAGUGUCUUCUGCUAUAGCCCCGGGCCGACCAAUGCCUUGUGAGUGGAUUUGGUAGACGGAAACUGAAAGAAGCCUGUCAUAUAUAUGUAUAUAUUUAUAUAUAUAUAUGUGUGUGUAUAUGUUUGUGUGUCUCUGUUUGUCCCUCUAGCAUUGCUUGACAACCGAUGCUGGUGUGUUUACGUCCCCGUCACUUAGCGGUUCGGCAAAAGAGACCGAUAGAAUAAGUACUGGGCUUACAAAGAAUAAGUCCCGGGGUCGAUUUGCUCGACUAAAGGCGGUGCUCCAGCAUGGCCGCAGUCAAAUGACUGAAACAAGUAAAGAGUAUGUGUUAAUAAAACCAUUAGAAGAGAAACUGAUAUUGUGUUCUUGGGGAUACAUUCUACUCCUACAUUAUCAGAAAGCUCAUUAAAGUUCACAGAGUGGCUUGCUGCAUUGUCUAAAAGAAGCAGUGUUCUUUUGAAAAUAUAUUAUUGUAUCUUUCUACAGCAAGUGAAAAAGUGUUUGUAAACCAAUCUUCGGAAAGGCUUUCUUCUUUGAACUACAAUCAGAAGUAAAUCAAGCUUUGUGCAACCCUUGAAAGCCCUUGUAUUUUUUGAGUGAGACAUGAAGAGGGGCUUUAAUUUCAUAUCACCAGCGGUAUUUCUUCACAGAAGAAGCCUCAAACGGUUUUUGGAAACUUUAAAUGUUGGUAUUCAAACUUAAUUUUACUUCGCAAGAAAUAAAAAGAUCUAAGAGGCACAUGAGUCUUAGAUCUUUUAAUAAGUUCGUAGUCAAUUGGUGCCUUGUUUUUGUAACUUGAGUUAUAAAAACUUCACACACACACACACACACACACACACACACACACACACACACACACACACACACAUUCACACACACACAUGCACACAUCGUGGUGACAUCAACAUUUGUUGCUAGAUAUUUCUAUCAAGCUGAUAACGUUAUCAGUUGGUGAUUCAAAAGUUGGGGAUUUGAUAGUCAUGGAGGAGUUGGUUAAAUCGCUUUUACCGUCGGUGGGGUGGAGGUGGCGGUGGCGGUACUGCUGCUGGUGGUAAUGGUAAUGAUGCUCAUGCAUUGUUGUUUAGUCUCAAGUCAAACCUCAUUGACCUGAGAUCAAAGAUAUUUGGAUCGUGUUAGGACACCGGGGAACCAGAUUAUUUUACAUGAUUGUCUUUUAUUUUAGAUGUUGUUCUUGUCUUGCUCGUACUGUUGUUGUUGUAAUGGUUUCUCCUUCAGGAGAAGCUUGAUUGGUUAUGACAGUGAUUGUAUUGUUUUUGGCGACGACGGGUGUUGUGUUGGUGUUUAUAAUUGAUAGUGUUGGGAGGAAGGAUGAUUCACACACAGGUAUGUAUGUAUGUAUGUAUGUAUGUAUGUAUGUAUGUAUGUAUGUAUGUAUAGAUGCAGAGAGAAAGAGACAGAGACAAAGAGAGAGAGAGAGAGAGAGAGAGAAAGAGAGAUAGAAAGAAAGAUAGAUAGAUAGAGAGAGAGAGAGAGAGAGAGAGAGAUUGGGACCCAAGAAGACAUACAUGAACAAAAUAUUCACUGUGAAAAAGUCAACUCAACCUCACGCUUCUGUAGCGUUCAAUAGCGAAGCAUACAUUCAUACUUGCGUACAUGCAGGUACACUCACGCAUACACACACACACACACACACACACACACACACACACACACACACACACACACACACACACACACAUAUAUAUAUAUAUAUAUAUAUAUAUAGAGAGAGAGAGAGAGAGAGAGAUACACACACUCAUACAUAUUCCUUACUGCUAUUUUAUACACUUACAUUAAAAAUCUCUCUCUAAACGUUAGCUGAAUCAUAGGGAUCAAAUAAUGUCAAUUUCUCCUUCCCAUGUAAUCCUAACCCUGUAAUGUCUGCUAUGGAAUUGAACAAAAGACAGGAAUCAAUUGGGUUGUUUAGGCUCCGAUCUUUAUUCAUUCUGGUGCGGUACAUAAUGCAGGUGGUGGUUAACGUAUCAUCACAUAUUAUUAUCUAAAUUUAGUUUGAAAGUUUCUGUCUAACAUCAAAAUGUUAAAACUGAAUUAUGCAUUCGUAUUUAUUGAAUUACACAGUAAAUUUCAUGUAUAAGAUUACCAUUUUUAUAAUAAAUUUAGAACAAGUUACUCUUAUUUUUAAUCAUUGAUAUUUAGUUUUAUUAUUGGAGGGCAUUGCUUGCCCAGCCUACCCAGAGUGUGGCGUUUCUCGCCUGACUUAAUGAAUUAUACUUAGUAAACAUCGCUCCUAUGACUAAUCAUCUUAUUUUUACAACUUACUAUGUCAAUGAUAAUACGUUAUUAUGACUAAUUAUAAUUAUCACGUCACGUGAUCACGUGACCGACCAGUCCAUCAGAUGUAGUUACACAUCGCUGGUCACAAUGCGUUCGCAUUGUUUUAGCCUUCGAAUGACGACACCCCACUGGCUAAGCGAGCAGGCCAACAGAAGAAAGAGUGGGAGAAAGAGUGGUGAAAGAGUACAGCAGGGAUCACCCCCCCCCCUGCCAGAGCCUCGUGGAGCUUUUUUUUUUUAGGUGUUUUCGCUCAAUAAACACUCACAACACCCGGUCUGGGAAUCGAAACCGCGAUCCUAUGAUCGCGAGUCCGCUGCCCUAACCACUAGACCAUUGCGCCUCCACAAUUAUAAUUAUAGGAAGAGAAAAUGAAUUUAGAGUUACUGCUGUGCGGGCCAAGUUCUCGUAGGCUCCAAAACUGAUCAACUCUAUUUGCCUAAACCUUAACUGAUGCGUUAAAGUCUUGACUAAAGUAACACCGAUAAAAAAAAAAUACAGAAUUAGGCCAUCUAUGAGAUUAUUCUGGAGUAUCUUUUCAAAUCUUUUAAAUAAAUUUUUAAAAUUUCAGUCUGACAGCAUGGAAGAAAUUCAAUUCCGUCUACUCUAAAUAUAAUUUGGUACUAAAUUUUCAACCAUAUUUUGACACAAAAUUACUAUUGGACGAAACCAGGUAUAUGUUAUGAUAAUUAUUGCCUGGCUCCUAACUCAGUCCUUAUCCAGCAUACUAUUUACUAUCUUGACUUUUAUUCAGCUAUUAUGUAUAUUGGACUAUGUUAUCCACCAUGCUUUUAAAGAAAAUGCUUGAGGGAUAUUUCAUACGUUUUGGAUCGAAUCGUUUUUGACAGAGACGAAAUUGUCAGUUAUGAAUUGCCACAAGGCGCAGGAGUGGCUGUGUGGUAAGUAGCUUGCUAACCAACCACAUGGUUCCGGGUUCAGUCCCACUGCGUGACAUCUUGGGCAAGUGUCUUCUACUAUAGCCUCGGGCCGACCAAUGCCUCUUGAGUGGAUUUGGUAGACGGAAACUGAAUGAAGCCUGUCGUAUAUAUGUAUAUAUAUAUAUAUGUGUGUGUGUGUAUGUGUUUGUGUGUCUGUGUUUGUCUCCCUAGCAUUGCUUGACAACCGAUGCUGGUGUGUUUACGUCCUCGUCAUUUAGCGGUUCGGCAAAAAAGAGACCGAUAGAAUAAGUACUGGGCUUACAAAGAAUAAGUCCCGGGGUCGAAUUGCUCGACUUAAGGCGGUGCUCCAGCAUGGCCGCAGUCAAAUGACUGAAACAAGUAAAAGAGUAAAAGAGUAUUUAUUCCAUGGUUGAUUUAUCAGAAAGUAAAUAUGAGUUUACUUAAUUAUUUGAACUGACAAUUGGAAUUGUAGAGUCAAAGCUGUCCAGAAAUAGCGCAUCUUUUCAAGGUAUUAUUGCCAUUAGAAACACCUUUACAUUUACAAUAGUUCACUGACUAUCAAAUGGAAUUUGCGGCUAAUUUGGGUCGUUUAAGGAACGAGGGACUGCAAUGAACUGUGAAGUGUUGACACAAUUCUAUGAGAAGUUGAAGCAGCUUCUAAAGUCUGCAGAACAAUAUUGUUAAUAUUUUUGGAGUUUCUAAAACAAUGUAUCUGACUGACUUGUCUAACUUCACAACAUUCUCAGAGACACACAUCAUAAGCCAAAGAAGAUGAUUUGACGGAGAAAUACCAUCCAAAUGUCCCUUAUAUCAUAUCACGCCAUCUUAAACUAGAAAACUACUUACCGUAUUGUGUUAUCCUAGAUCUUAUAAGAUUGGGUAAAAAGAAAAUAUGAUCACCGAUAGAACUUCUUCAUCGGAUCAGAGCUUUCUGGAUCUAAGCAAUAACACUUUCUUUGUGCAUGCGUGUGUGUGCGCACGCGAACAGACAUAUAGAUAAGCAUAUAGAUUAGAUAGAUAGAUAAAUAAAUAGAUAGAUAGAUACAUAGAUAGAUAAACCAGUAUCGACGUCCUAACGCAGUAUCCCUUGCUCUCAGCAUGUUGAAUAUUAUGGCAAUCCGUAAUGCCAUCCCUGGUUAACUCUGGGUUUUUAUGUGGUGGAUUUCUAAUCGCUUCUAUGCUUGCUAAUAGCUUGAAAGGGAUUAACAUAUCCAGAACUCUAAUAUUACUGCGAACCCAUCACCCUAAACUGGUACUGUAUUUAUCAAACCCCAAAAGGGUGAAAGGUAAAAGCUGACUUCUGAAGGUUUGGAACUCUGAACUCUGAACUCAAAGAACCGGAAUAUGUAAUACACUGCAUUUUGUUUUAUGGUCUGAGGGCUCUGCCAGUUCACAGCUUAUUACUGGUUAUUAUGUGUUACGUGCUAAAGAUAGUGAAAUGACAGAUCCAUUAGUGCGUCGGACAAAAUGAGCUGAAAUUUUAGCGAAGUCGACUUUGUCUUAGAUCCUUUAAGGGUCGAUAAAACAAGUACCAAAUGUGCAUUGGCGUCGAUGUAAUCGACUUACGUCCUCCUCUAAAAUUGCUGACCAUGUGCCAAAACAUUUUGUAAUAUGCACUGGUAUUUAUAUAAUUAUUUUAACCAUAGGCGCAGGAGUGGCUGUGUGGUAAGUAGCUUGCUAACCAACCACGUGGUUCCGGGUUCAGUCCCACUGCGUGGCAUCUUGGGCAAGUGUCUUCUGCUAUAGCCCCGGGCCGACCAAUGCCUUGUGAGUGGAUUUGGUAGACGGAAACUGAAAGAAGCCUGUCGUAUAUAUGUAUAUAUAUAUAUAUAUAUGUAUGUGUGUGUGUGUUUGUGUGUCUGUGUUUGUCCCCCUAGCAUUGCUGGACAACCGAUGCUGGUGUGUUUAUGUCCCCGUUACUUAGCGGUUCGGCAAAAGAGACCGAUAGAAUAAGUACUGGGCUUACAAAGAAUAAGUCCUGGGGUCGAUUUGCUCGACUAAAGGCGGUGCUCCAGCAUGGCUUCAGUCAAAUGACUGAAACAAGUAAAAGAGUAAAAGAGUAAAAGAGUAAGGUACUGUUGUGAUUUGAAAUUGAAACCGUAAGAGAAAUAGUGUAUUGAAUUUACUUCGACGAUUUACUGUCUCGCCCGGCUAAAUCACCAUUGCCGUACAGACACUUACAUAUGGACGCAAGCAUGCAACGGCCGUGUCUACUGAUACACUUAUAUAUAGGUGCAUAUAUACAACAGCCAUGCACACACAUCUAUCAUCAGACUGGCGCUUGCUCAAAAACACACUCAUUAAAAAUGUUUGUGCAUGUAUGUGCGUAUAAUUCACACGUAUAUGUUUAUAUAUAUAUAUAUGAACAAAUAGAUAGCUAUGUACAUACGUAAUUAGAUAAAAGAGAAAAAUCUAAUCAAAGCUUAAAUGUAAUUAAUUUAUUACAAAACAUCAAAAACGCUAAAAUUCAAUGUAUACCCAAAGCCUCUAUCUACCCUUUUUCUUCUAUUCUUUUUGCUCAUGUUUUUUUAUUGCCCCUUCCAUUCUCUCACUCAUCGAUAAAUGAUCGAUCUGUUGAUCUAUCGAUCUGUUCAUUCUAACAUAUAUAUAAAGGCAUAUGUUCCUAAUUUCUCGCAUCAAAUGCGUUUGUUUAUGUGCAUGUAUGCAUGUAUGCAUAAAUGAGUGUCUGUCAGUGAGUGUACAUACACUGCAAACAUACACACGAGCAUAUCUAUUUAUUUUGUCUGUUGACGUAUACACACAAACACACAUUCAGUGUCUGUGCGUCGAUUUGUGUAUUGUCUACUACGUUACAUACAUACAUGCAUCCAUCCAUACACAUAUACAUACAUACAUACAUGCAUACAUGCAUACAUACAUACAUAAAUACAUACAUACAUACAUACAUACAUACAUACACACAUAAAUACAUGCAUACAUACAUACAUACAUACAUACAUACUUACAUACAUACAUACAUACAUACAUACAUACACACAUAAAUACAUGCAUACAUACAUACAUACAUACAUACAUACUUACAUACAUACAUACAUACAUACUUACAUACAUACAUACAUACAUACAUACAUAUAUAUAUGCAUACAUACAUACAUACAUACAUACAUACAUACAUACAUACAUACAUACAUACAUACAUACAUACAUACAUACAUACAUAAAUACAUACAUACAUACAUACAUACAUGCAUACAUACAUACAUACAUACAUACAUACAUACAUACAUGCAUACAUACAUACAUACAUACAUACAUACAUACAUACAUACAUGCAUAGGCACUCUCGCAUAAUUAUGCAUACAUACACUUAUGAUAAGUACUGUAGAUUAGAGUUGUUUAAACAAACCAAUUAUUUCGACUCUUAUAUCUCUCUUUUUAACUGGUGCCUUUAGUCUCUUCAGAUCCUCCCAGACAAAGGGAUAAAGUCAUCUGGAUAAAUUUUUAUGUAGUUGUUGCUGUUUCCUUUUUCUUUCUUUUUGCACUUUUUUUGUCAUUUUUCAACUUUUCUGUUUGAUGUAGUUUUGAAGAAUACCAUAGGCAAGCGGGAUUUUCAUGUAUAUGCGUUUCUAAGGGAGUAGCUCGGGUAAACUGAUUAAUAUGUGAAAAAUGUUCUGCUCCAGGCCGAGCGGGACUAUGUACAGUUAUAAUCAAAGGCAUUCCAGCCGUGAACAUCACGGUUUUUCUUUCGUAUGUCUAGAAUCCGUUGUUCAAUGCAUCCUUCCAUUUCAAGUUGGUAUGCUGUGAUUUAAAGAAAAUAUGGCUGUUGUGUCUAACUUGAGGAGUGACUGAUCCUUAGAAUCUCCUUCAUUGACUUAAACACAGCCGUGAACGAAGGAAUUCUAAUGAAAUGAAAUCACCCCAGUGGUGAAGAGAAGGAGGCCUGGAUAACAGUGAUACGUCGUUAUCAAAAGAGACAAGGAAGACAACCUUGAAAUUUUAAGUAAUCAAAUUUAAUUAAGGUUCAGUGUAGAUAAUUUUAACAAAUAUUUAUUUCUAGUUAUGCCACGAAAAGUCUAUGCAUCUUUCAAAUCAUCUUCGUAAGGAAACAUUGGUUAAAAACAAUAAUAAAGACUUCGAUGAUGGGCGAAUUAAGAAAAAAAGCGAGAAUGUGGAAAAACGUCACAGGGGGAAAAUGGCACGAGGAAAAGCACCAUAGGAAAAUGGUACUGGAUGAAAGUCACAGAAUGAAAAAAAGUCAAAUAAAACUGCGUAAAAUAUUAGUAAACGACUGAUUUAACAGAAAUGCCUAUAAAACUUUGGAGUUUGUGUGCACUUAAUAAAUACAUAUUUAGUCUCGCUGUAAAAUAAAAAAGGAGAUACAGUAUUUAAACCCACAGGUUUAUCUCUAAGUGACCAAGAACAUGUAGUUUAUAACUUUUUAGAGUAUAUGAACACCCGGACAGAACCAAAAGGCAAAGAUUUGGUAAAAGAAAUUCAUUAACAAAUAGAAGUAAUAAAUAGGAAUGUAAAGUAACCUUACGAGCACGAGUGUGUUUUAGUAAGCACACAUUUAACUUCAAUAUAAAAAUGUAGACACAACGGAGUUUACUUUUUCAUUUCGAGCUAAGUCUAGAACACGAGUUCACAAGAUUACAUGUCAACUGAACCCAAUGUUGUGUUGUACUUGCAGUUCUUAUGUAUGUAUGUAUGUAUGUAUGUAUGUAUGUAUGUAUGUAUGUAUGUAUGUAUGUAUGUAUGUUAUGUAUGUAUGUAUGUAUGUAUGUAUGUAUGUAUAUGUAUGUAUGUAUGUAUGUAUAUGUAUGUAUGUAUGUAUGUAUGUAUGUAUGUAUGUAUGUAUGUAUAUAUGUAUAUAUAUAUAUAUAUAUAUAUAUAUAUAUAUAUAUAUAUAUAUAUAUAUAUAUAUAUAUAUAUAUAUAUAUAUUUAUAUAUAUAUAUAUAUACUUGUGUGUUCAUAUAAUAUGCGUGUGUAUUCAUGCGUGCGUGUUUGCGUGUGUACUGUAAUAAAAUGAUCCCAGUUUUGUAUAGUGCUCCCAGUACUUAUGUAUUUAUAUAUUUGUAUGCAUGUAUGUAUGAAUGUAUAUGUAUAUGCAAAUAUAUAUAUGCUUUUGUGCUUAUAUAAUAUGUGUGCGCGUGUGUGUGCGUGCAAUAAUAAAAUGUUAAAGUGUGUUUAGGGUCCUAUUAGACUGCGGUUUAUCCCGUUUUUUUUGGUGUUUAAGUUAGAGGCUACAACCCCCCAUUCCCUGAGCGCGAUACCAGUCUGUGACAGGCUUAUUCCACCCACUGGCACUCGGUACUUAUUUUCAGGUUAGUAAUGUGAAAUAGGAGGCGCAAUGGCCCAGUGGUUAGGGCAGCGGACUCGCGGUCAUAGGAUCGCGGUUUCGAUUCCCAGACCGGGCGUUGUGAGUGUUUAUUGAGCGAAAACACCUAAAAGCUCCACGAGGCUCCGGCAGGGGAUGGUGGUGAUCCCUGCUGUACUCUUUCACCACAACUUUCUCUCACUCUUACUUCCUGUCUCUGUUGUACCUGUAUUUCAAGGGGCCGGCCUUGUCACUCUCUGUGUCACGCUGAAUAUCCCCGAGAACUACGUUAAGGGUACACGUGUCUGUGGAGUGCUCAGCCACUUACACGUUAAUUUCACGAGCAGGCUGUUCCGUUGAUCGGAUCAACCGGAACCCUCGUCGUCGUAACCGACGGAGUGCUUCCAUCCCAUAUGAAAUAAAAUGAUGUGUUUUGCUGAAGGACAUAACGCAUCGAGGGAUCGAAUUCCCGACCUCAUGGUUAUAUGCCCACAACAUUAACCACAAGUCUUACACGACUUCUGCAUGCAUAUAUGCAUGUGCGUGUGUGUGUGUGUUGCGCGUACUUUUAGAUGUGUGCUCACAUAUUCUAGAAUAUAUGUGUGUGCGUGUUCGUUUUCUAGCCCGUCUGCUUCAGUGUGUAAGUUUCAUGAAGUUUUCUAAACGUGCAUCAACUAUUCGACAGAUUGAGUAACAUUUCUUCCAUAAUUUGCAAGACCUAGUUUUAUCGGACAGUGCAUAGACAGUGGCGCUGCAAUGACGAAAUGCAUAGGCGCAGGAGUGGCUUUGUGGUAAGUAGCUUGUUUACCAGCCACAUGGUUCCGGGUUCAGUCCCACUGCGUGGCAUCUUGGGCAAGUGUCUUCUACUAUAGCCUCGGGCCGACCAAAGCCUUGUGAGUGGAUUUGGUAGACGGAAACUGAAAGAAGCCCGUCGUAUAUAUGUAUAUAUAUAUAUAUGUGUAUGUGUGUUUGUAUGUCUGUGUUUGUCCCCCUAGCAUUGCUUGACAACCGGUGCUGGUGUGUUUAUGUCCCCGUUACCUAGCGGUUCGGCAAAAGAGACUGGGCUUACAAAAGAAUAAGUCCCGGGGUCGAGUUGCUCGAUUAAAAGGCGGUGCUCCAGCAUGGCCGCAGUCAAAUGACUGAAACAAGUAAAAGAGUAAAAGAGUAUCUAGUUUUAUCGGACAGUACAUGGACAGUGGCGCUGCAAUGACAAAAUACAUAUCCGCUGCACCAACUGUUGCUGCUGUUAUUGUAUCAGCAGACAGUGGCGCUGCAAUGAGGCUAACAUAAAAUCACUAUCUUUCCACAAUGCAAGCCUUAGCAAUGAGUCAUAUAAAUUGAGCUGGUCGUGGUUGUGAUUGUAAUAAUUAUGGUGGUGUUUGUGAUAGUAAUAGUAGUAGUAGUAGUAGUAGUAGUAGUAGUAGUAGUAGUAGUAGUAGUAGUAGUAGUGGUAGUAGUAGUAGUAGUAGUAGUAGUGGUAGUAGUAGUAGUACUAAUCGUUGGGGUGACAAUAAUGCUAUACUAGAGGUUAUACUAAUAGUCUAAAGAAAGCGAUGGGGUUAAUGAUGGUCAAAAGGCUUGAUGUAGUAGUAGUAGUAGUAGUAGUAGUAGUAGUAGUAGUAGUAGUAGUAGUAGUGGUAGUAGUAGUAGUACUAAUCGUUGGGGUGACAAUAAUGCUAUACUAGGGUUAUACUAAUAGUCUAAAGAAAGCGAUGGGGGUUAAUGAUGGUCAAAAGGCUUGAUGUAGUAGUAGUAGUAGUAGUAGUAGUAGUAGUAGUAGUGGUAGUAGUAGUAGUAGUGGUAGAAGUAGUAGUAGUAGUAGUAGUAGUAGUAGUAGUAGUAGUAGUAGUAGUAGUAGUAGUAGUAGUAGUAGUAGAAGUAGUAGUAGUAGUAGUAGUAGUAGUAGUAGUAGUAGCAGCAGCAGCAGUAGUAGUAGUAGUAGUAGUAGUAGUAGUAGUAGUAGUAGUAGUUGCAGUAGUAGUAGUAGUAGUAGUAGUAGUAGUAGUGGUACUAGCAGCAGCAGCAGCAGCAGCAGCAGUAGUAGUUGUGGUGGUGGUGGUGGUGGUGGUGGUGGUGGUGGUGGUGGUGGUGGUAGUGGUGGCAGUAGUAGUUAUUUUUCUCUCUCAUUAUCCCAGUACAAUAGUAUAUGUAAUCCAAAGGAAGAAGAGUUAAACAGAGUAACUGAAAACUACAAUUGCAUUAAAUGCAGCAAAUCGAAUGAAUAGGCAGGAUAAAACUAUUCAUAUAUAAUGUAAUAAAGUAAUAAAAAAUAAGAAUAAUGAAGCUAUACAUAUAUAUAUAUAUUUCGAAAUUAAUUGUCCUAAUUUCUAUACUGAAUACAUCUGAGGAAAUAAUGAGGCCGAUUGACCUAGUAGGACACUUAGUUCCAAGUCAAAUCCUCUCAAUAUGCACACCAGCCCACCUUUUAUCCAGUCUUAGUGCAUCCAGAACUAACAUAAUCCAACGACUCUCUAAGUCAGUAGGGUAUGAGUUUCCCCAAAUUCACUUCUUUUCAGGCUAUAACUUCAAAACUUGUCCAAUUAGGAGCAAAAAUAUAUAAGCUGGUUAAAGAUGGUUUUAAAAUAGUUCUUCAGAAAUGUUCUCUCUCUUACUAAUAUUGAAUGCAGUGUUCACGUUCGCUGGGUGGUUAUCGUUCAUCACAGUGUAUUUUAUUUUAUUCCAGUCUCAAAUGACUAUAACAGAUUUGUCCUGCUCAGUGGCUCAGUGGUUAGAGCGUCGAGCUUACGAUCGUGAGGUUGAGAGCUCGAAUCCCGGACCGGGCUGCGUGUUGUGUUCUUGAGCAAGGCACUUUAUUUCACGUUGCUCCAGUUCACUCAACUGUAGAAAUGAGUUGCGACGUCACAGGUGCCAAGCUGUAUCGGCCCUUGCCUUUCCCUUGGACAACAUCGGUGACGUGGAGAGGGGAGACCGGUAUGCAUGGGCGACUGCUGGUCUUCCAUAAAACAACCUUGCCCAGACUUGUGCCUCAGAGGGUAACUCUCUAAGUGCAAACCCAUGGUCAGUGUCUGACCGAAGGGGGUCACCACCACCAUUAAGCAGAUUACUGUGAGAACGCCCACUUAUAUUCCUUAUGUUUGAAAGUAUAAAUACACUUUGCACGAAAAUUAUUUUUAAAAAUCUGUCCCUUAUUUUAUAGUGUUUUCGUAACAACUUUAUCCUUUGUAAAAAGCUAAUGCUCUAUUUCAUUCUGGAACCUCUGCUGGUCAAAUGAUUAAUACUUCCCACUGAUAUGUAGCAUAAUCAUCAUUUCUAAAUGUGACAUAAUUUAAGGAUACGAAUCCAAGAAUAGCACACUUCUUGAAACAAUUGAUAUGAUUCUCAAGUUUCCUGCGAAUAUACCCAUGCAUAACCUUUUUGGACGAUGUAGAAUGUUUCUUGAAGCAUGUUUGACAUAAUUUUGAGAUCGAACGCAAUAUCUUCACUCCCGAUCAGAAAUGUGUUGUUUUCUUCACUUUCGAAGAAAUUAUUAAUGUAUUAAUUACUGCUGUGUUUGAUCUGAUGCUAUCUGAGUGAAAUCAUGCAACACCCGGGGGCUAUUCUUUACUUGUUUCAGUCAUUUGACUGCGGCCAUGCUGGAGCACCGCCUUUAAUCGAGCAACUCGACCCCGGGACUUAUUCUUUUGUAAGCCCAGUACUUAUUCUAUCGGUCUCUUUUGCCGAACCGCUAAGUGAACGGGGACAUAAACACACCAGCAUCGGUUGUCAAGCAAUGCUAGGAGGACAAACACAGACACAAACACACACACGCAUAUAUAUACAUAUAUACGACGGGCUUCUUUCAGUUUCCGUCUACCAAAUCCACUCACAAGGCUUUGGUCGGCCCGAGGCUAUAGUAGAAGACACUUGUCCAAGGUGCCACACAGUGGGACUGAACCCGGAACCAUGUGGUUGGUAAACAAGCUACCUACCACACAGACACUCCUACGCCUAUCUGGAUUAAUCUUAAGUCUUUUCCUUCAUUUUCAUAUCCUGAGAUAUUUGAUAUCGCAAUUUCUGUGGAAUCUUCUAUUUGACAUCAGGAUCGUGUAAGUCUUAAACAGCAAUGAAACCUCUUCUACAUUUCUGUCAAGUGUCCCCGUUGCUGGUAUCAUUACUGACAUAGAAAUGUGUUGUGGAAUAUUGACUUCCAAGAGAAAAGUUCUGUCCGCCAUAUUUUUUGAUGCCUGGUCAUUCUAUUUUUGUUCAUUUCACCUAGGUAUGCUACAUUUUCACCAAUAGCCAGGUAUUUGUAGAAUUCUCGGUGUGAAGCCAGGAUGAUCAUUGAUAUCAACUUUUUUUUUAUUGUAAAGAGUGAGUUUCCCGCGUAACAUAAUGAAAAUGUUAUCAAAUCAACUGUUUUUGCACCAUUGACGAUAUUUCUAUUGGCAAGCAAUUUAUGAGUUACUUUAACAUUUCUUCUGAUUGUAGACCCUAACAAUAUAAAGAAAAUUAUUGGAUAUUGUGUCAAAUAAAUAGAAUAGCAGGAUUUCUCACUGGAAUAUUCAUUUCAGUUUAUCUAUAACAAGUGAGAAUUUUCGUUGUGUUGCCUGUUCAACUACUAGGGCGACAGGUGCAAUUAUGAAUAGGGAAAGAAAUCGAACAGCUUUUAUUUGUUACUAGCAGUAUAGCCCGGCGUUGCUCGGGUUUGUAAGGGAAAUAACUAUAUAAGCAUUUUUAGAGAGUUAUAGCCAAGUAUAAUAGCCAUCUCAAUAUGGUUAACCACAAAGGAAAAAAAUUACUGUAAAUUUUUUUUCUGAGAUCGUUAAUAAUAGACAUUUUUAGAGAGUUACUUCCCUUAUAUAAUAGCCAAAAAAUGCAUUAAAAUGGAAAAAAUGAUGGUAAUUUUUUUUAAAUCGUAGACUCAUCGUAGACGCGCGCUAAUACCCAUAAGUGCUCGAUAUGAAUCACGACUAUAAGAUACCCGGUUUUGGUUAAACUGCACCGCAAAAUGUGGGAGUAGUUAGGAAUCUAAAUCGUAGGAGACAGACACACAACCUUCUUUUAUAUAUAAAGAUAUUUGCACAUUUUUUUAUAGUGCCUUAAUUUUACAUCAGCUUUAUUAAUUAAAAUGUUGUUCAGUACAUCUCUACCUACGCUUAAUUUUUUCUGCGUAUCUUACACUUUUUUGUUGGAAUUGCAAAUAAUCUUCGAAGAAUUGCUUUAAAUAGCUGGUCCACGGCUUAAACAUAUUGUUUAACCAAGCACUAAAUCUUCAGUUUUCUGAAAAUUAGUAUUUUCAUUCUAGGGUACAAAAUAUUCCUCUGCUUUUACAAGCCGUUUUGGUAUUUGAUCCUCCAUAGAUCCUGUAAUCAUACACGUGAGUAACCUUCUGUAGAAUGUAACAGACUUUUAGCAAUCACCAGCUGUUACUUCCAUUUUUCUGGUGUUGUUUCAUUGUGCAGCUUAGUUUUAGUGAAAGUUUUAGAGAUAAUAGUGCAAGCUUAACCUUUGCUACUGGUCAAUAAAUAUCCAUACAUGAAAAGUACACACACACACACACACACACACACACACACACACAUACGACGGGCUUCUCUCAGUUCCCGUCUACCAAAUGCUCAUAAGACUUUCGUCGGUCCGGAGCUUUCGUAGAAAACACUUGCCGAAGGUGACACGCAGUGGGACUAACCCGGGAACCACGUGGCUGGAAAGCAAGUUUCUUACCAGACAGAUACUUCUAAGUAUAUGUACAUACAUAUGCAUACAUAGCUGCCGGUCAAGUAGUGUGGAGCGACUGACCUCCCUUGUUCGAAGGUUAUAUGGAUACAGUUUGUGUAUCAAAUAGCUAACUUAAGGCGAUGGCCUCAUGGAGCUAAUAAGCGGACAGCUUUUUUCUUAUUUUUAUAAGAAUGCCAUAUUAGUAUGGCGAUAACUAUUAUUUUCCGGGAACGCUGCCGCUGUUCUCUUUUAGAGAGACUUAGUUAUUUUAAUAUUUCUAUUAUUGAAAACAAGUGGAUGUAUUCCACUGAAACUAGGUAAAUAAAACCAUCGAACAGAGAUUGUCGGAAGCGACACCUACUGGCUGGCUACGCUGCAUUGAAAAGGGGCAAUACCCCGAAACGCGUCUGUAGCUGCCGGUCAAGUAGUGUGGAGCGACUGACCUCCCUUGUUCGAAGGUUAUAUGGAUACAGUUUGUGUAUCAAAUAGCUAACUUAAGGCGAUGGCCUCUUGGAGCUAAUAAGCGGACAGGUUUUUUCUUAUUUUUAUAAGAAUGCCAUAUUAGUAUGGCGAUAACUAUUAUUUUAUAUAUAUAUAUAUAUAUAUAUAUAUAUAUAUAUAUAUAUAUAUAUAUAUAUAUAUAUAUAUAUAUAUAUAUAUCAUACAUAUAUAUAUAUAUAUACCGGUGUAAACACAUAAAUGUGAAACAAGGUGGAAAAAGAGUACUCAAAUACCAGUGGUAGAGUAAUAUGCUUUAUUUGUUUGCUAGCAAAAACUGUCCGAUGAACGGCAACGGGAAACUCAGAGUAACAGGUUUUGUUGAAUUUUCUGCUGCUUUAAAUAAAGUAUAUAUAUAUAUAUAUAUAUAUAUAUAUAUAUAUAUAUAUAUAUAAGGUGUAUUCCGUUAGGAACGUAUUAGAGUACAAUUAUCAACUAGCCGGUAGUAUUACGGUAUACUUCCAAGUCUAGGUUUAGACAUUCAUCGUGUGAGGCAGCUAUUUAAUAAACUCUACACGUGUAGUGUUUAUGAAAUAGCUGUCUAAACGUAGUCAUUCAUGACUCUAUUUAUUCAAUGCUAUCUAUCAAUCAGUCAAUCAAUCAAUCAAUCAAAGGAAUUUUAUUUGAUUCCUUUGCAGGAAGGACCAUAUAUAUAUAUGCAUGUAGAUGUAGGUACAUACAUAUAUGUAUGUAUGUAUGCAUAUAUUUUAUUUAUUAAAUUAUAUAUACAUAUAUAUAUAUAUAUAUAUAUAUAUAUAUAUAUAUAUAUAUGUAAUUUGCAGACGUAAUUUUUAUUGCAUCUCAAAACAUAUCGUGGUUUUAGAAACAGAAUGUUUUAUAAUGCAGUUCCAUAAUCAAAAUAUGGAAAUAUUAAUGGUUUAAGUAAGAAAAGAAGAGACUUAUUAUGGAAGAGAUAGUUUCGCUUACACGUCAAGUGUUUUUGACUUCUUCAGUGUCUUUAGAAACGCUUGAGUAUCACAUCUUCACUUUCACUUUCGUUUUUAGACAGUCAAUGUCUCAUAAGAAUAUAAAUGGGCGAAAAAUUAGUAUUUGUCUGUGUGUGCGCAGAAGUGUGCGUGUGUGUGUGUGUGUGUGUGUGUGUGUGUGUGUGUGUGUGUGUGUGUGUGUGUGUGUGUGUGUGUGUGUGUGUGUGUGUCUGUUUGUGUGUGUGUGUGUGUGUGUGUGUGUGUGUGUGUGUGUGUGUGUGUGUGUGUGUGUGUGUGUGUGUCUUUUCAGGAACAAGAUAAAGCAUUCAGAGAAAGGAAAAAGGAAUAACUAUGGGAGAGGGAUUGAUUGGGGGGAAAAGAAACGGGAGAGAGAGAGAGAGAGAGAGAGAGACAGAGAGACAGAGAGUCAGAGACAGACAGACAGACAGACAGAGUAGAAUGGAAUGAGGGAAAAUGAAGAGCUGCGAUAAUUACAGACUAUUAGAUAAAAAUCAAAGAAACGGAAUAAGAAAGAAAGAAAGGAAAGGUAUUGGAGAGAGAAGUAGGAGUUAUAUUUGCAAAGGGAGUCACGAACGAACAAACCAGCAUAUGGCUAAGGUAAAAAGAGGAGCAGGAACAGGAGAAUUAGCAGGUAGGAUUAGAGGAAAGGGGGCAGCAGCAGCGCUUGUGUGGGAGUGUUUCUCAGCUUGUCUAUUUGUCUGUCUGUCUGUCAUUCUAUUGAUGUAUGCAAUUAUGUGUCAGCUGAGUAAAAAGUUCAUUGAUAAAUCCUCCCAAGGCUUCCUCGUGCGUUCCAAGCGUUUCUACCCACGCGCGGCGCAGUUACACUCAGCCAACGAGGAGAAAGAAGAUCCCUAUGUCAUCGCAAAACAUGCUAGAAAUAGCAGUCAAAUCUUACUCAACCAAACUCUAUUACUCUUUACUCUUUUACUUGUUUCAGUCAUUUGACUGCGGCCAUGCUGGAGCACCGCCUUUAGUCGAGCAAAUCGACCCCGGGACUUAUUCUUUGUAAGCCCAGUACUUAUUCUAUCGGUUUCUUUUUGCCGAACCGCAAAGUGACGGGGACGUAAACACACCAGUAUCGGUUGUCAAACAAUGCUAGGGGGACAAACACAGACACACAAACAUAUACACACACAUAUAUAUAUAUACAUAUAUACGACGGGCUUCUUUCAGUUUCCGUCUACCAAAUCCACUCACAAGGCAUUGGUCGGCCCGGGUGCAUUGCUGCAAGAACUGAAACAGACCAUACGAGUGCGCAGUGGGACUGAACCCGGAACCAUGUGGUUGGUAGGCAAGCUACUUACCACACAGCCACUCCUGAAUGCUAGUUUAUAGUAGAAUAUAUUAUUUUGAUAAGGACUAUACAAACUCGCAGCUUAUCAACAGAUACAUCAAUACGCACGUAUGUACAUAUACAUACACACACGCUCACACACAUACACACACUUACGUAUAUGUGUGUGUGUUUCUCUGUACUUAUGUGUGUGUGUGUGACCGUUGGACUUCGACACACUCUCCGCCACCUUAAUUUCAUUCCUAUAUUAUUACUCAAAUCGAGGAUUUUAUUGAGAACAAGUGUCCAAGGCUACCAUCUGUGGGACCCAACCAGAAAUGACAUAUAUGCAAAAACCUACGUGUAAAGAAACUGACUAAUGUUAACUUUUAAUCGUAUGUAGGCUAGUUCAAUCUCAACCGAGUACUAUCAUUGUAAUGAUGUGUAUUAUUCAAUAUAUAUUUCUUUACUACCCACAAGGGGCGAAACGCAGAGGGGACAAACAAGGACAGACAAACGGAUUAAGUCGAUUACAUCGACCCCAGUGCGUAGCUGGUACUUAAUUUAUCGACCCCGAAAGGAUGAAAGGCAAAGUCGACCUCGGCGGGAUUUUAAAUCAGAACGUAACGGCAGACGAAAUACCGCUUAGCAUUUCGCCCGGCGUGCUAACGCUUCUGCCAGCUCGCCGCCUUAUACAAUAGGUGAGCUCAUUGAUAAAAUACCUGAAAAUAUCUCGUGUUUUUAGUCAUUCAACGAAUAUUACACUAACAUAAAAAUUUAGAAUAGCCUAUUUAGAAAUGUCGAUAAUGAAACGACCAUAAGAGCAGUGAAAUGUCAGAAACAUACACUAGUAGAUUAGCAGACUGAAUGAGGUUCUGGGUUGAUCCGAGUGUGUGGCAUGCUGGGCGGGUUACUUUUCCAUUGCCUAAGAUCAACACAAAGUAGUUUGAGAGAAUCUGACUAAUCGGAAACUGUUUGGAAUAUACAUUAUUUACAUUAUUUACAUUUCGACGGAUUUUGUCCUCAUCUUGUUUGUUGUUAACACAACGUUUCGGCUGAUAUACCAUCCAGCCUUCAACAGGUGUCUUGGGGAAGUUUCGAAUCUGGGUUCUCAUUCCUAAGGUAUUUUUCGAUGUUAUUCUUGUUGUUGUUGUUGUUGUUGUUGUUGUUGUUUUUAUUCUUCUUCUUCUUCUUCUUCUUCUUAUUAUUAUUAUUAUUAUUAUUAUUAUUAUUAUUAUUAUUAUUAUUAUUAUUAUUAUUAUUCAGGUCGGUGUAGUGGUUAAGAGCGCGGGCUACUAACCCCAAGUUUCCGAGUUCGAUUUCAGGCAGUGACCUGAAUAAUGAUAAUAAUAAUAAUAAUAAUAAUAAUAAUAAUAAUAAUAAUAAUAAUAAUAAUAAUAAUUAAUGAUAAUAAUAAUAAUAAUAAUAAUAACAACAACAACAACAUCGAAAAAUACCUUAGGGAUGAGAACCCUGGUUCGAGCCUUCCCCAAGACACCUUAUGAAGGCUGGAGGGUACAUCAGCCGAAACGUUGUGUUAACAACAAACAAGAUGAGGACAAAUAUACGUCAAAAUGUAAAUAAUGUAAAUAAUGUACAUAAUUCGUCAUCUCUUAAACAUAGAACUGAACUGUUUGGAAUCCUAUGAGUUAGACUGUAUCUAUAAUUCAACUGUCCAACCUUAUCACAUUUGUGUCACCGUGUGAAGCUGAUUCUACUUGUGAAUUACGUUAAGGGUACGCGGGUCAGAGGAAUAGACAGCCACUUGGGCACGGUAAUUCAAUAAUUCUGUGUAUUGCUGAGUUGAUCAAAAUGGACGUCCUUACCACAAAAGCGAGAAGAGAGUUCAUUUUUACAUCUCUAUCUUUCUAUUUAUGUAUGUACAUAUGUGUGUGUACAUACAUACAUACAUACAUACAUACAUUCAUACAUACACCCAUUCAUACAUACGUACAUACAUACAUACAUACAUACAUACAUACAUACAUACAUACAUACAUACAUACAUACAUACGUACAUACACCCAUUCAUACAUACAUACAUACAUACAUACAUACAUACAUACAUACAUACAUACAUACAUACACCCAUUCAUACAUACAUACAUACAUACAUACAUACAUACAUACAUACAUACAUACAUACAUACAUACAUACAUACAUACAUACAUACAUACAUACAUACAUACACCCAUUCAUACAUACAUACAUACAUACAUACAUACAUACGUACAUACAUACAUACAUACAUACAUUCAUACAUACAUACAUACACCCAUUCAUACAUACAUACAUUCAUACAUACAUACAUACAUACAUACAUACAUACAUACAUACAUACAUACAAUUCAUACAUACAUACAUACAUACAUACAUACAUACAUACAUACAUACAUACAUACAUACAUACAUACAUACACCCAUACAUACAUACAUACAUACAUACAUACAUACAUACAUACAUACAUACAUACAUACAUACAUACAUACAUACAUACAUACAUACAUACAUACAUACAUACAUACAUACAUACAUACAUUCACACAUACAUACAUACAUACAUACAUACAUACAUACAUACAUACAUACAUACAUACAUACAUACAUACAUACAUACAUACAUACAUACAUACAUACAUACAUACAUACAUACAUACAUACAUACAUACAUACAUACAUACAUACAUACAUACAUACAUACAUACAUACAUACAUACAUACAUACAUACAUACAUACAUACACACAUACAUACAUACAUACAUACAUACAUACAUACAUACAUACAUACAUACAUACAUACAUACAUACAUACAUACAUACAUACAUACAUACAUACAUACAUACAUACAUUCAUACAUACAUACAUACAUACAUACAUACAUACAUACAUACAUACAUACAUACAUACAUAUGCAUGUGCCUAAGCGUGUGUGUGUAUGCAUGUCUACACACAUACACGAAUAGUGUGUAUCUGCUUCCUUUAUAUGUGUGUCUGUAUGCAAAUAAAUGCACUCACAUUCCUAUUUACUCAAUAAUGAACAAAAGAAUUACUUAAACAAAAGAGCAGAAAUAUUUGAAAUUUCAUGCAGUAUGUCACUUUGUGUACUUGUGUGUGUGUGUGUGUGUCUAGGAGCUUGUGUCUGUAUAUGUUUAUAUAUCAGAGAGAGCGAAAGAAUGAGAGAGAAAGAAAGAGAGUGGGAGAGCGAGUAUGUGUUUCUUUUCUCUCUAAUUUAUGAGGAAAUUAAAUCAAUUCUAUAUAAAAUAUUUUCAUUCAGCAUGAAAAAUGUGUUAGUGGUGCCAAGAUUCCGUUAUUCAUGUGCGGAAUAUUUUAAUUGCAUAAAAUUAUACAAGAAUCUGUGUAAAUAUGUCUUUUAUUAAAUCGCCAUAAACAUCAGACUUACGUCGACGUAGAAGAUGUGAGUUUGUAUCCCAUGAACAAAUUUCGACAUUUUUUAACUCAACAUUUACAUAUUUUUUAUUUAAAGCUCUAUCUGCUUCCAGAUUCACCGUUUUAAAACUGAAUUAUUUCAAGGUCCCUUGAAGUUUCGAAAUUUUUACGACAUCAACAAUGUAUGCGUGUGUGUGUGUUUGUAUAUAUAUAUAUAUAUAUAUAUAUAUAUAUAUAUAUAUAUAUAUAUAUAUAUAUAUAUAUAUAAUAUAUAUAUAUAUAUAUAUAUAUAUAUAUAUAUAUAUAUAUAUAUAUAUAUAUAUGUAUAUAUAUGUAUAUGCAUAUGUAUAUCUAUGUAUAUAUAUAUAUAUAUAUAUAUAUAUAUACAUAUACAUAUGCAUAUACAUAUAUAUACAUGUGUGUGUGUGUAUAUAUAUAUAUAUAUAUACAAACACACACACUCAUUAUAUACUAUCUCUUACCUACAUGUACAUAUAUAUAUAUAUAUAUACAUAUACAUAUAUAUAUACAUAUAUAUAUAUAUAUAUAUUUAUAUCUUUAUAUUCUAUAUAUAAAUCAUAUCUAUAUUAAGUAGGUAUAAAUACUACACCGAUAUAAAUUAUGUAUAUAUAUAUAUAUAUAUAUAUAUAUAUAUAUAUAUAUAUAUAUAUACAUAUAUAUAUAAUUAUCGUCAAUCUAACAUGGCAGUCCAGAAAAUAGGACGAAUGCUGCCAUUGAUUAGCUCCAAGAGGCCAUCGCCUCUAGCUAUUGAUGUGACACACAGCAUUCGUCCUAUUUUUCUAGACUGCCAUGUUAGCUUGGCGAUAACUCUUAAUAUCCAGUACCACUGCCGUAGUCUCCCUUAGAGAGAAUUAGAAAUAAUGAUAUAUAUAUAUAUAUAUAUAUAUAUAUAUAUAUAUGUCAGUGACCUGCUUUUGAGACUAGUGCAGUUAGAAAUUUGCUAAUAUUUUGCAAACUGUUGCCAUAUUUUGCUAAAGUCCGAUGGUAAUGUAAUAUUCUGCACUGCCAAGUUCAAAUAUAAGCUAUAUGUAUGCAUGAAAUAUGAGAUUUUGGAAGUAUAUUUUGGGUCACGGCCAUACAUAUCUUAUGUAUGUAUGUAUGUAUGUAUGUAUGUAUGUAUGUAUGUAUGUAUGUAUGUAUGUAUGUAUGUAUGUAUGCAUAUAUAUAUAUAUUAGACAGACAGACAGACAGACAGACAGACAAACAGAUAGAAAGAAAGAAAGAAAGAAAGAAAGAUAGAUAGAUAGAUAGAUAGAUAGAUAGAUAAAUAGAUAGAUAGAUAGAUAGAUAGAUAGAUAGAUAGAUAGAUAGAUAGAUAGAUAGAUAGAUAGAUAGAUAGAUAGAUAGGUAGAUGGAAUAAAACGAAAGAUUUAAGAACCAAUAAGGGAAACGCUACACUUUUGUUCAUGCUAGAAAUAAUGGUCAUAUCUCCCUCAUUAAAAUCUUAGAAGAGAAAAUAUUAGAUAAUGCGAUCCUAGGUGUCCUUUUUGUUGGAAAAGUCAAGACAGUCACGGCUAGAACUGGCUCAUAGAAAUAUUCUAUUGUUAAUAGAGUAUUAACUGGGGCUUAGUAACAAUUAUAUCAGUAAAAUAUUUCUGUGUAUCUAUUAUUUUGUGAAGACAUAGCUUUCUAAAUGUUAAAAUAUUGUUGUGAUAUUUAAAACAAAGUUAAAUGCCUGAACAAACACUCCAUGGGAAUAUCAUUUUAAAAAAUAUUUUCUCUUGCUUUACAGGAUAAACACCAACCAAUCCAUUAAAAUCUCAAUUAAUCAAUUCGAUCAGGGCAUAUGCUGAACCAGUCCUAGAACUCAUUUACGACAAUCUGUUGGCAUUUUUGAUGAUAUUAGGAAGAUUGCUCUAUAUACUAGCAAUUGCAUUACAGAAAGAAAAAUCUAAACAUCAACGCGCAAUGCAGCUACUAUCUAUGUCCUAAAGUGAAGUCAGUGCAGGAAACAUCGUGCGACUGCAACCACUCGGCAAGUAGUUUUAUUCUUUUAAUUAUUUCUUUUGGUUAAAAACAAUUUGCUGUUACUACUUCUCAGUUAACCUUGAUGAAACAGGCCUAUCAAUUUUUGUGAGUUGUAUAUAUGACUACCUGAUCAAAUGAAUCAUUUUUCUUAUAUAAGCUAACAUGGUGUGAUUUGAGGGUGAGUUGCUUCGUAUACUGGGAGAAUGUGUUUAUAAAACAUCUUUUUCUCUUGCCUUUAUUGAGAAAAUUCUAUAGUUUGUAAGAUAUUUGUUGUUUUUUUCUUCAAUUUCUGCAAUUUCAAACAAUCAAUAACGUCUAUUCAGGUAAAAAAAACAUUGUGUGCCGUAUGAAUAUGUCCCUCGUUUAAGAAACAGAUUGGGUUUAUUUACAUUUGUGAAGAAAAAAAGAUACCCUUCCCGCCACCCCUAACCCUAACAAACCCUAACUAACCCUAACCCUAAAACAGAUUGAAAUGCAAUAGAUCGAUACUAGGGUCAUAAUUAUGGGUGACGAUUUCAUAUGACACCGCUAGAAAAACUGCCGUUCAAACCGAAAACAUCAGAAAAUUCUAACUGGGCCCCACCGAUGAGGUCAUGCGCUAUUUAUCUUGAUAUGAGAUCAGCAUGUCGCGCACAUAUGGUUAUGAUGCAUGUGCCUUGUGUACCCUUAUCAGACAGGCAGUCAUGAUGGGUAUACUGGGCUUCGUAUAUUUUACUCCAGGGUCACUUUGAUGACAUGCACUGCUCUUUCACUCAAUAAUAAUAAUAAUAAUAAUAAUAAUAAUAAUAAUAAUAAUAAUAAUAAUAAUGAUAAUAAUAAAUGCCCCGUUGCAGUACCAGGCAGUGGCUCUCAUGGCUGCUGAUCUUAAUUGGAAGUGUUAUCAAGUACAAUGUUUUGUCUUGGUAUAAAAGAUGGGCUACAGCAAAUAUUCUGCUCAAUACCACAGAUUUACGUGUCAGUUGUUUGACCAUAACCAGUUGACCAUGUUCCUUAGUGGCUGACGAUAUGUGCAUCUCUGAUCACGAGCAGAAGUAGUGGGGGAGCAUCAUAGCCAUGUGUUGAGACGAAUUCUUUGGGAAAAAUGAGUUUUUUGUUCAUCAUCCUUAAAACAAACCUUAUUCAGGAUGGGCUACUCGAUCUGAAAACAAUUUUAACUGCAAGGUCAUGCGCUGUUUAUCUUGGUGUGAGAUCACCAUGUGGCGCACCAUGUGGUUGUGAUGCACAUGCCUUGUGUACCCUUAUCAAAAGGAUAGUCAUCAUGGAUAUAUUGGGUUUCGUAUAUUUGUACCUUAGUGUCACUUUCGUGGCAUGCACUACUUUCUCACUCAAUAAUAAUAAUAAUAAUAAUAAUAAUAAUAAUAAUAAUGAUAAUAAUGAUAAUAAUGAUAAGUACAAUAAAGACAUGAAGAAGAAUUACGCUAGAAGGGACUACACAAUUAAAUCCAUAUAGCAACAACAGAAGUUGCUGGAAAAAAUAGAUGAGAUUGGCUGAUGAAAAGAACCUUAAAAAAGAGACUGAGAGCACUAUACUGGGCUUCGUAUAUUUUACUCCAGUGUCACUUUGAUGGCAUGCACUGCUAUGCCAAGCUAUGGCCACGAACUGGAGAGUCAACCUUUGGAAUGAGCAGAUGAAACCAUUGCCCAUAUCACGAACGAAUGCCCUAGACUCGCCCAUAACUACUACAAGUUGUGGCGACACGACCAGGUAACGAAAGUGCUACAUUGGGAACUGUGCGAAAAGUGGGAGCUAGAGAGAUGUAAGCCGUGGUAUGAGGACAAAUGGCAGAGAGUAGCGGAGUCGGAGACUAGCAAAAUUCUCUGGGAUUUCUUAAUCCUAACAGAUCAGGUGCUAGAGCAUAACAGACCGGACCUAGUGCUGGUGGACAAGGUGCACCACAUAUGCUAUAUAGUUGGUGUUGUAUGCCCCUUUGACCCACGAAUAGUCAAGAAGAAAGACGAAAAUAUCGAUAGAUAGAACCCUAUUAAGUACGAAAUAACCCGACUAUGAAAAAUGAAGAAGGUGAAGAUAGUGCCAAGUAUUGUUGUGUCUUUAGGAAUUGUAUCAGAAGGCAUCAAGGGGAAUAUAAAGGAAAUUGCAAUAAAGUGCCCAGUAGAAGUGUUACAAAAGGUUUGCCUGCUUGGCACGGCCAGAAUAACCAGGAAAGUAUUAGAUAGCAGAAAAGAACGAAUAGCUUGGUACUGUAGGCUGCAGGAAGUAAGCCCGCUACACAUGCAAGACUCCAGCAGCUCCAACAAAACCUGUGAUAAAGAGAAAAAUAAUAAUAAUAAUCAUAAUAAUAAUAAUAAUAAUAAUAAUAAUAAUAAUAAUAAUAAUAGUAAUAGUAAUAAUAAUAAUAAUAAUAAUAAUGAUAAUAAUAAUAAUUAUUAUUAUUAUUGUUGUUGUUGUUGUUGUUGUUGUUGUUGUUAUUGUAGUUUUUGUUAUUAUUAUUAUUAUCAUUAUUAUUAUUAUUAUUAUUAGCAGCAGCAGCAGCAACAGCAGGAGCAGUAUUAUUAUUAUUAUUAUUAUUAUUAUUAUUAUUAUUAUUAUUAUUAGUAGUAGUAGUAGUAGUAGUAGUAGUAGUAGUAGUAGUAGUAGUAGUAGUAGUAUCAUAAUAAUCAUUGUUCAGAAAGUUGGGUUAUAUGUCAACUUAAAAGAACUUAACACCGCUAGUUAGUAAAUCCUUCGAUAACAAUUUUUUUGCUUCUUUUCUCUCGACAUUUGUCAAAAUAUCAUAAAGUAACAAACGAAACAAACACCAAAUAUGAGUGGAUAAAGAAAUAAACAAAUCAUUCAAAAAUAUGGAAUAAAAUAUGAAAAUGCUUGAAAUGUGUGGGAAAUGAGUGAAAACGUAGGAAGAUGGAUGAAAAGAGCAUGGAAAUGAGAAUAACAAAAAGUAAAUAAAUUAUAUACAUACAAGCACAAACACACAUACAUACACACAUACAUACACACAUAUACAUACAAAUAUAUAUACUUACAAAGAUUAUAUAUAUAUAUAUAUAUAUAUAUAUAUAUAUAUAUAUAUAUAUAUAUAUAUAUAUAUAUAUAUAUAUAUAUGUGUGUGUGUGUGUGUGUGUGUGUGUGUAUGUCUGUGUGUGUGUAUAUACAUACACAUAUAUGUAUAUAUACAGACACAUGCUCAUACAUAUAACAGUGUGUAAAAGUCUGUGUCUGCAUAUAUGUAUAUAUAUAUAUAUAUAUAUACAUACAUAUAUGCAGACACACACACUUUUACAUACUGUUAUAUAUAUAUGUAUAUAUAUGUAUGUAUGUAUGUAUGUAUGUAUGUAUGUAUGUAUGUAUGUAUUGUGUGUAUAUCAAAAUGAGUCAUACAAAUAGGAUACUCAAUGAUACAAAUACGACAAUGAAUGAUGUAAAUAUGAAAAUAAACGGUAGAAAUUUUCCCUAAAAAACAAAAAAAUAAAAAGACCCAAAAUCAUAUAAAACAAAACAAAAGCUUUAUACAACUACAAAAAUGCACGGUACAAAUAGGAGGACGACAGAAAGAAAAAUGCGAAAAUGAAUGUUGGAAAUACAGAAUACACACAAAGAAAAGAUAAAUGUAACAAGCAAUAUCUAAAUGAAACAACGAAAAGAAAUUAGACAAAUACGAAAAUAAAUUAUAGAAUUAGAAGAAAAAUGGAUGAUAUAAAUAUGGAAAUGAAGGGGAAAAAUACGGAAAUGAAUGAGAAACCCUUUAAUUGUCAAGCUGACAUUUCGACAUGCAUGAAAAACUUCAUAUUUUAAAGGGCUGAAAAUAGUACAGUAAUCCAGAUGACGUUUUUUUUUAAAAAUAUAUUUUGUUUUCCUUUCAUUAUAUCUAUCAACACAUCAUCUAUUUCGCAGCUUUGUUUAUGUGUGUAUGUAUGUAUGUAUGUAUGUAUGUAUGUAUGUAUGUAUGUAUGUAUGUAAUACGUAAAUAUACACGGACAUAAGUAUGCCUCUGUGUAUGUGCGUGUAUAGUUUGGGGGCGUAAGAAUGACAAACGAGAGAAACAGAACGUACUUAGCAGAAAUACGUAGCGUAUGGAGUUUAUUCAUUCUUUGGAUUUAGUUAUAGCUUUAUCCAGUCGCCCUCUCGAGCUUCCUUUCCUUAUUAGAGAUGUCAGUGUGUGCGCGUGUACAUACAUACAUACAUACAUACAUACAUACAUACAUACAUACAUACAUACAUACAUACAUACACAUAUUACAUACAUACACAUAUAACAUACCUACAUAACAUACAUGCAUGCAUACAUAUAUACAUACAUACAUACAUGCAUACAUACAUUCAUACAUACAUACAUAACAUACAUGCAUGCAUACAUACAUGCAUAAAUUCACACAUACAUACAUACAUACAUACAUACAUACAUUCAUACAUUCACACAUACAUACAUACAUACAUACAUACAUACAUACAUACAUACAUACAUACAAACUUACAUACAUACAUACAUACAUACAUACAGGCAUGCAUGGACUCAUGGGAUCGAAUACAGACAUGUUGAUAUAGAGGACUGUUCCUUGUCCCGAAUAAUGAAUACUAUUGCCAAACAUUUUUGCCAUUGAUACAAUCCUUGUAAAAGAAGUGGUUAUCUUCUUUGAGUAAAUGCAAAGAAAUAAUAUCUUUUGAAAAGAUUGUGGCAGUAAUCAAACAGUGAAAAAUUACGAUACACUCACCCUGGCGACAAAAGAACGUGGAGCUAACUAUUGCAGAUCGCGGAACUAACGGGGAAAAUUUUAGUGAACUUUCGCACUGAACCAGUUCUACGGAAAGGAUAGGGAAGAUCCCUCGAAAAGCUACGUUAAAAAACUUAAAGAUUAUUGGGAUACGAAAUAACCAACAUUCUCAAUAUUUUUAGAGAAACAAUUAUGCUAGCAAGCUACAUUGUUGAAACGAAAUAUACCAACCUACCAAACAAAAUCACUCAACCGAAAUGUACAAAUGAUAAUACUCGUAUUGACAACACAGUAAACUUUUUUUUCCGUGAAGAGACCGCGAAUGAUGAGAAACACGACCAAGAUGAACAUAGCAGUAUAAACCUGUCGCUACUCCACAGACACGUGGCAACAUUUACGAUCUCACAAAAAACUAGUGAAGACUAUAAAAUAUCAAAAUCACAGCUUGCAUCAAAGUUCAAGUAGAACUUCACUACUCUCAUACACAAGAUACUGUAUGAGAGAUGGAUACCGACCAGGAGUUGGGAAAAAAAAUUCACCGAGCUGAUGCUAUCUGCGAUCGGCGAAAUUGCGAGAGAACAACUAGCUCAAAUUCAAACUCUCAAUUUUUGGACAAUAAAUGUUCUGCUAUAUCGAGACACAAUAACUGUAGACCAACAGAUGGGUGUAAAAGCGACCGAGCCAAAUGCUGUAUUGAUCUAAAAUGAUCUAAAAUGUGUCGGUCACCAAUAUACUGCAAAUAGAUUAUGCUGCUCUGCCUUCGGUACACUACCGCUAAUAUCUUCAUCUACAUUCACAUAUUUAUGCAGCAUUUGUAACGUUUUCCUUAUCCUUAAUCAUUCAAAAUGCUACCAGAGUUUGAGAAAUACAUUUAAUUUACUAAAAUACUGGUCUAAAAUGGAUUACCUUCUUCCAAAAUGACAACAAUGCAGUAAUCUCUUAAUGAUAUGACUUGACUACGAGGCGUCCGACUCUGACCCACACUCAUGUAUAAUAGAAUCACUACAUCUUGCCAAAGUAUCAGUUACAUAGUGAAUCCCAUUGAAAGAUUGACCACAAUAUGGUCCACACAGUUAUAACUGACAACUACUAAAGCAGCACCUAUUGUUACAAGCAGAAGUAAACUAUCAACAGGCUUAUGCUAGAAUGAUAGCUUCUCACUAACGUUGUUUGUGUAGUGGCAGUGAACUCCUUGUCAGCCUAUUAACAACCCUUUGCCAUGUACCCAAAGUUAUAUAUCAGGAUUUGAAGAGAAGAAUAAACUUAAUACUCUUUUACUCUUUACUCUUUUACUUGUUUCAGUCAUUUGACUGCGGUCAUGCUGGAGCACCGCCUUUUAGUCGAGCAGAUCGACCCCGGGACUUAUUCUUUGUAAGCCCAGUACUUAUUCUAUCGGACUCUUUUGCCGAACCGCUAAGUGACGGCGACGUAAACACACCAGCAUCGGUUGUCAAGCAAUACUAGGGGGACAAAUACAGACACACAAACACAUACACACAUAUAUAUACAUAUAUACGACGGGCUUCUUUCAGUUUCCGUCUACCAAAUCCAUUCACAAGGCAUUGGUCGGCCCGGGGCUAUAGCAGAAGACACUUGCCCAAAAUGCCACGCAGUGGGACUGAACCCGGAACCAUGUGGUUGGUAAACAAGCUACUUACCACACAGCCACUCCUGCGCCUAUAGCCACUCCUGCGCCUAUAGCCACUCCUGCGCCUAUGUCACCCACACAUUUUUAUUGACAGACUAAAGUUAAAUUCUGGUAACAUGAACAACAUCAAGAAAUAAUAAGAACAAGUCACAAUAGGAAUGGAGUUUAGGCACGAUAGGAAUGGAGUUUAGGCACGAUAAAUGCUCAUACAUGAUAGUCAAACGGGGAAAGUACAUAUACAUCAAUGACUUGUCUAUCUCUCCUAUUUCUAAUGAUGAAAACUAUAAGUAUCUCGGAAUCAAUCAGAAUGUUGCGUAUGUUGGUGCUGUGAUUAAAGCCAGAAUUACAAAGCAGUACUUUUGUAAUUUCCAGGAAAUGUGGAACUUAGAGGUGUCUGCAUUUAACAACACCGUAUCUCACAAUUUUUUUGCAGUGCAAGUCCAGUGUCCACAUUUGAGAUAUUGGACUGGGCGUUUGACGAGAUCUGCAACCUGGACAUGAAAACUAGGAAGGUAUUAGCUGCUACUCGUAACUUCCACAUCAAGAGUGGCACCAAUAGGAUCUACGUGAGACGAAGUGAUGGCGGUAGAGGCAUAAAGUCAGUCCAAACAGCCUUUCAAUGUCGCACUGAAUCACUCAGACAACACCUGCUGAACAGUAAAGAAAUGAGUAGAUUACAUGCAUACUCAAAAAUGAGAGCAGCUGUGGUAAGUAGAGAUGGGUAAGUAGAGAUGGGGAAGAACUACAGUGCAGGUACAUUGAGAAUACAACUGUCUCAUGCGACCCAAAGGAAGCUGGAUUGGCUUACUUAAACAGGCGCUUGAAGCAGAAACAGGCAUCAUACCAGCAAAAUCCAAUGCAUGGGUGCAUAUUCUAUUAGCUGGAGGAUAAUAAGAGUGGUGGAAGCACUCCGUCGGUUACGACGACGAGGGUUCCGGUUGAUCCGAUCAACGGAACAGCCUGCUCGUGAAAUUAACGUGUAAGUGGCUGAGCACUCCACAGACACGUGUACCCUUAACGUAGUUCUCGGGGAUAUUUAGCGUGACACAGAGAGUGACAAGGCCGGCCCUUUGAAAUACAGGUACAACAGAAACAGGAAGUAAGAGUGAGAGAAAGUUGUGGUGAAAGAGUACAGCAGGGAUCACCACCAUCCCCUGCCGGAGCCUCGUGGAGCUUUAGGUGUUUUCGCUCAAUAAACACUCACAACGCCCGCUCUGGGAAUCGAAAUCGCGAUCCUACGACCGCGAGUCCGCUGCCCUAACCACUGGGCCAUUGCGCCUCCACGAUAAUAAGAGUAACCACAGGAAGAGUAUCCUCUCCUGGAUCUGUGAUAAAUACGUUACAUCCCGCCUGGAAGGAUAUGCCUUCACUAUACAGGAACAGGAGAUAACUGCUAAAUAGCUGAUAAACAAGAAAGAGGUAAAUAUACCACCAAACCUUCACGUUGUAAAAAGAUGUCGGGUCUGCUAUAUCAAUCAGUAUGGAAGAUAUUGCCCACAUCAUCAGUAGUUGCCUCCAAAUGUCUUCAAGAUACUAUCUGCCCCUGAUACUACCUGUCUCAGUCGAAUAUACUACGCUAAAGAGUUAAAACGAUAGCGAAAUAUCGAUAUCCGUCUUUCUUGUUCACCUUCAGGCUGAGUCGUCUCACCUGAUCUAAGGCAUUAAGUUUUCUUUAAGACUCGGCGUCCUGUAGUGACGUUUCUCAGGACGCUCAUAUAUAUACACACACACACACACACACACAUAUAUAUAUAUAUAUAUAUAUAUAUAUAUAUAUAUAUAUAUAUAUAUAUAUAUAUAUAUAUAUAUAUAUAUAUAUAUAUACAUAUAUACAUAUAUACAUAUAUACAUAUAUAUAUAUAUAUAUAUAUAUAUAUAUAUAUAUAUAGAGAGAGAGAGAGAGAGAGAGAGAGAGAGGGGGAGAGAAAGAAAGGGGAAAAUAAAUUUUGUGACCAGAGUUUAGUUUUCGAUCUAUCACUGAGUAUUUCUGUUAUAUUUAUAUGUUGUUGAGUUACAGUGUGUUCCAAAAAGAAACUGGAUACUUUAACACUCAUUAAAGUAGUAACUUGCUACACACAUGCACAAACGUAUGAAAUGUAUGUGUAUGCAUACGGUUCUAUUUGGAGCUCAUCACUGCCACGAGGUAUUUAGUUAGGAAUCACGAAUGUUUCUUUAAUACAGACUAAACAACAGCAAGAAAUCCGAAUAGAUGCUUUAGAUCUUAUGUCCUAUUGUUCUGGACUAUGAAACUGCUGAAAUUGACUUUGUUUAAUCUUUUUAAUCGCCCUGAGGUCGAUAAAUUAAUACGCUUGGGAUAAAUUCCAUUGUCUAAAUAAAUCAUAAACAAAUCUUUAAGUAUCUUGAAUAAAUUAAAUUAGAUUAAAUUAAAUUAAAAAUAUCAUUAGUAAAUUAAAUGUAUUUCUCAAACUCUGGUAGCAUCUUGAAUGAUUAAGUAUAAAGAACAUAUGACAAAUGUGGCAAAAAUAUGUGAAUGUAGAUGAAAAUAUUAGAAGUCGUCUACCGAAGGCAGCAGAGCAUAAUUUAUUUGCAGUAUAUUGUUGACCGAUACACACACUCACAGACACACACAUAUAUGCAUGCAUGCACAUACGUAAAAACAAUACACACACACACUCCCACUAAAAUGUAUGUCCCUAAAAAUGUAUUAACUUUACAUCGGUACAAUUUCUCUGAAAUUCAAAUUAUAUAAUUUGAAUUUUGAAAGACAAAUGUGUAAGUUAUGAAUUACCAUAAAUGUUCCAACUGAUGGCACUUGACAAUGCAAACCGAUAGAAAUGUGAGCAGAACAAAUAAUUUCAAUUGUUAUCUGGGCGCAUUCGCCAUCCAAAAUUGCUUUCAUUUCAUUAAUUGGAGUCAAUUUAAAAAAAAAAAUAUUCAUUAGCGUGUAGUCUGUUGAGUGCGGUGUUAUUUAAUACUACCUUGUGAAAAUCGUCUGUUUGGCAGAAUACCAUCAAAAGUGGCAUUCACCAGACUACACGCCAAUGGACAUUCUUCAAAAACGGUACCAAUAAAUGAAAUUAAUGAUGGAGAAUGUUCCCAGAGAACAACUGAAAUUAUUUGUGGUACUCACAGCUCCAUUGACUCGCAUUUCCAGCAGCGUAUAGACCAUAACACCAAUAGUUGGAGAGUCGGAACACUUAAGAUAAUUCUGAACUUACACAUUUGCCGUUUUAAUUUGAUUUACAUUCUUAAACGCAUGACGAUGGUAGUAUCCCUAUUUUGUUACAAAUAAAACUCUCCUUCAUCUCAAACAUCUUUCGAAUGUAAUGUAUAGUAAGACGAUGUUCUACCUCAAGUUCAAACAAUUGGCAUCAGUCACAGUGUUGCUCUCUCUCCCUCCCUCCCCCCUCUCUCUCUCUCUCUCUCUCUCUCUUCUGUAAUAUGUAGAUAAUCAGUUUCUCAGAAGCUGCAACUCAGAGGUUUCUUAGCGAUGUUAAUUGAAUUAAAUUCCUGAUGUACCUCUCGUUUGUUACAACAAUGGUCUUCUUUGCUCAUGUCUCUGCUACAGAUAUAGAAGAGAAUCGGAACUCGGCAUGAAUAUCUAACGAAACAUUUGUAGAAUAUACAGUAUCUCGUUGCUUACAUGAGAGAGUAGUAGCACUUUGGGAAUAUUCGUUGCAUGUACAGCAGUGACAGUCUCGACUCGUGUAGCAUGUAUUUAUCAAGAUAUUACCUUUGCCGGUUGUCAGAAGUUGCUCUAAUUGUUUAUAAACCCAUGAUAAAAUAGCCUCACUUCCUCAAUUCAUUUCUUUUGUUUCAUGGCUGCAUUUUCUUCUAAUUUCAUUUAAAACUUGUGUCACAAAAAUUAUUCGAUCGUAAUUAUCCUAAGUGUUGGAACUAGUUUAAAAAGUCAUUGUCUUAUCUUUACGCAAUUUAACUUCUAAACCAUACGAACUUUCUUCAGUCUUUUAUCGACUAUAAGACAGUACUCUGACAAUUCUGGUCAUGUAGACUUCUUUUGUUACCAUUUUAUUCUGUCGUAAUGUUUUUAUCUUUUUCCUCUUUCUGAGGUAUUUUGUUUGUUUGUUGCAAUCUCUUUGAAUACGUUUCCGUUUUAACAUUUUUUAACCUACCUUGUCAUACAAAACUAUUUAUUUUAAUUUCAAUAUGUUGUUUUACCAUAUGAAUUAAAAUAUUCUUUGGUGUAGGAGUGGCUGUGUGGUAAGUAGCUUGUUUACCAACCACAUGGUUCCGGGUUCAGUCCCGCUGCGUGGCACCUUGGGCAAGUGUCUUCUACUAUAGCCUCGGGCCGACCAAAGCCUUGUGAGUGGAUUUGGUAGACGGAAACUGAAAGAAGCCCGUCGUAUAUAUGUAUAUAUAUAUGUAUGUGUGUUUGUGUGAGUGUGUUUGUCCCCCUAGCAUUGCUUGACAACCGAUGCUGGUGUGUUUCUGUCCCCGUUACUUAGCGGUUCGGCGAAAGAGACCGAUAGAAUAAGUACUGGGCUUACAAAAAGAAUAAGUCCCGGGGUCGAGUUGCUCGAUUAAAGGCGGUGCUCCAGCAUGGCCGCAGUCAAAUGACUGAAACAAGUAAAAGAGUAAAGAGUAUAAACCUUUUGUUUUAUCAGAGCCAACAUUUCUGCAUGCAACAACACAGAAUGACGUAGAGUCUAGACUUGUUGAAAACAAUAAGAUUUUAGAGAAUAGCUGUAUUUCUGCAUUUACGAGCGAAGUGCAAACAGCUGCAACCGAUUCCAAGUUGACUCAGGACACGUUUAGGUUCUAAUUCAAUAAUCAACACAAUAACGGUUUCAUUGGGAUUUGCUUCUGUAUAACAUCAAUUCAAAAGAGACCAAGAAGUGUUAGCAUACAGCUUUGUUAGAUUUUUUUUUUAAACCAGCCAACACUUCUUUACCUGAUCAUUGAUUGUUUCAUACUGACAUUGUAAAAAAGUGUACUGUUUCUCACACACACGAGCAUAAAAUACUCUACUCACGCAUAAACAUAUACACACAUACACGCACUAUUCUUCAUCACCUGGCUAAAUAUCUAAUUAAUGUUGAAUUAAAGCACAGUGAAGAGAAUUAACCUGAAUAUAUCAUUGGUACUUACUUGACACCAGUGUUGCCAUUUAAUGUGUGAUUUUACACACUUUGUUUAUUGUUUUUCAGUAUUUGCUCUUUCUGCCAAUGUUUAAUUUCUCUGUCGUUUUACUAAAAUGUAUGAAAGACACAUAAAUGAAACGAAAGGGAUUUACCUUUACAAACUCGAUUUACUGGAACCUUGCCACCACGCUAUUUUCACAGCUAUAUGCAUAUACUUAGCUUUCAGGGGGCAAGUUAUUGUAGUUGGACAGGAUACAACGUGGUAUUCGUUCUCGAUGUCUGAGUUCUAAGUUCAAACCCUGCCGAGGAUAACGUCGCCUAUCAUUCUUUUGAGGUGGAUAAGUACUAGGCUUGUGCUGGGCUAGAUUCUUCUCUUUCUUUCUUUCUUUCUUUCUUUCUUUCCCCCUCUUUCUUUCCCCCUCUCUCUUUCUCUCUCCCUGUUUGUCUCUCUUUCUCUCUGUUUGUCUCCCUCCUCGUUUCUUUCGUAGAAAAAUCCGCAAUAGUCAGACAUGGACUGGGAUAAAUUCCUACAUGUUUGAAAUGUUCAUAUCACGCCUUAUAUUACGACUCCAUCAGAAAUUGUGGACCGAAGGAAGGAUGAAGAAAGUAAGGAAAUUCCUAUUUGCCUCAGUGGCAUUGUCUUUCUAAUAGUCUGUUAUAUCUAUGGCGAGGCGCAAUGGCCCAGUGGUUAGGGCAGCGGACUCGCGGUCAUAGGUUUACGGUUUCGAUUCCCAGACCGGGCGUUGUGAGUGUUUAUUGAGCGAAAACACCUAAAAGCUCCACGAGGCUCCGGCAGGGGAUGGUGGUGAUCCCUGCUGUACUCUUUCACCACAACUUUCUCUCACUCUUAGUUCCUGUUUCUGUUGUACCUGUAUUUCAAAGGGCCGGCCUUGUCCCUCUCUGUGUCACGCUGAAUAUCCCCGAGAACUACGUUAAGGAUGCACGUGUCUGUGGAGUGCUCAGCCACUUACACGUUAAUUUCACGAGCAGGCUGUUCCGUUGAUUCGGAUCAACCGGAACCCUCAUCGUCGUAACCGACGGAGUGCUUCCUUUUAUAUUCAGGCUGAACAAUUUUAGUCGAUAGCUAUAUCACAUUUCAUCAACCAAUAUAGGAGAAACUCUAAACGUGUUCCGCUUUGUUGAGAUCUUACGGGCAAAUGUCACAUUUCUGUAACGUGCCAAAAAGUUGCCCGGCUAUUAGCUAAAUAAACAUAUUAAAUCAAGCAGAGUGAAGGGUAAUAUUGACAAAAUAAAUAAUUACGAGACGUUAAUAUCUGCAAGGUAAUUUUCAGCAUGCUAAUUAAACAGUUGUAACAUGGUACAUAUAUCAGUACAACAAUACAUCUUAUAAUAAUAUGCUAUAAUAAUAAAGCACAAUAAUACAUCUUAUAAUAAUAUGCUAGACAGGAGUAUUAUAUAAGUGUAUACACAUCCUGCAGCAUAACUGUACUGGAUAUGAACUCAAUUAAUGCGUGCACCGUUGAAUCCAUAUCUAUCAAAAAGCAUUUCAUUGUAUCUCUCAGUAGGAUGUAGGACACUUGUUCUUAUAAUAUCCGAGUCCAAACAAACUAUGGAGAUUAGGUAUUGAUUUUUCUUUUGCGAGGUGGAAGGAGAUGACUAUCAUAAACUGGCGGCCCAUCCAGUGGCGAAAUGCACCUCUUUCGCUUAAUGUUACGAAGCGUAAUCUCGAUGUUGCAUUCUUCUCCAAAUCUGGAUUUUUGAGAUACAUGAAAAGAUUAGAUUUUAAAAUUUAUUCUCUUGCAGUUUUGAUUUCAUACACAUUUCCCCCCCUCCUCACGUCAAACAAUUCUCUAUUCUGCUGUUUAAGAAGUUUGUCUUGGUCUCUCCUGUUAACACAAUCAAUGGAAAUCACACGAUCGUAUGCCAACUCUUCUAUCUUACCUGAAUGGGUUUUCAAAUUUUGAUAAUACCAAUGAUCAUCAGUUCUCCUGAGCUGCUUCAAUCAUCAACUAAUGUUCUUUAAACCGUAUCGCUCGCUCACAAACGCCAUCAGCAAUUCAAGUUGUCUACAAAUGAAAUAAAUUUCCCUUCAAUAGGGGAACACCACAAUGCCGUCGAAUGUUCAUUAGCAACGUGUCAAAUCAUAUAAAAGGGACAACACUGCUUCUUCGAAAGAAUGAUAUGGGACAGACUGCACAAUAAAUUCUAUGAUAAAGCUAUAAAUCUUUAAGUUGUUACGGAAGCUGCCUCUUGCCAUUCCUGUCAUAAGAGUAUAGGCAAUACAUCAUAUAUCUAUACUAGAUUUGAAUACACAUACAUCCUUUUAUAGUUACCUAUCUAUCUGCACACACACACACACACACACACACACACACACACACAUAUGUAUGUAUAUAUAUAUAUAUAUAUAUAUGCAUUUGUAUGUAAGUACGCAUAAAUGUAUGGAUAAAUGUGUGUGUAUGUAUGCAUGUAUGUAUGAAUGUAUGUAUAAAUAUAUGUAUAUGUAUAUAUAUAUAUAUAUAUAUAUAUAUAUAUAUAUAUAUAUAUAUGUAUGUAUAUAUAUAUAUAUAUAUAUAUAUAUAUAUGUAUGUAUAUAUAUUUUAUGUGCAUAUGAACGGACUGGUACACAUACAAAUGAAUAGAAAAAUACAUCGAUAACUAUAUGUGUUAUAUAAAGAUAUUUUCACAAAUUAACAUAUAUAUUCGUGAUCUGUGUGAGUGCAUUUGUGUAAGCGUGGAAGUGCAUACGUAUUUAUGUGUGUAAAAUGUAUGUGAAUAUACGUCCAACGAUACAUUUAAUGUAAUUUAUGUAUUUCCAUAAUUGGCGUUCAUUUGUACGUAUGUAUGCAUAUGUAGUAUGCUGCUAUAAUAUCUAAUUACUUCCUACCAAAUAAGGUUGGUUGGCUUAUGAACUAGUGUGCUAGCUUCGUAUUUAGUCCAGCAGCGAUAACAGAAUACAAACUGUUAACCUGCCGACUUUGUGUAAAUUUGCGGCAUUCAGUGAAGCAGUGACUCACUCACUCGCGCAUAAUCUCGCACCCUCUCAAUCAUUCAUUUAUAUACACGUGUAUCAACUUAUAUCAAAUAGAUUUCUUGCAAUGAUAUUCUGUAUUCUGAUUCAAGCUGGAAAACUAAUGUAUGUUACUUUGAAAAAUAUAUAUAUCUAAAACACACACUAAUGUUGCGAAUCAGCAAAUAAGCAGGGGAAAUCAUAAGAUAAUCGAAUAUUCCAACAUAUUUGAUGUAAUUAGCCAUAAGCAUCUUUUAUCGGAAUGAGUGACAGUUAAAACUACAAUUGACAUGAUGGCUGUCUGUAUGCUAGUCUGCACACAAUUUAUAUCUAAACUUGGAAAAGAAACAGUAACUGGUAUGGAACCAGUGCUAUUAACCUUGCAAUGAACCAUAGCACCCUCCAAUAUUACAGCCAGCAUGUUAUUCUAAUGCAUACAUAUACCUGUCUAUCAGCCAUUCCUGGUUUGUUAAUAAGUCAGAAGUGUAUAACAUGGGUUGCAUUGUGGUUCUGUGUGCGUGUGAGUGAAUUAUUCUGAGGUGUAUGUUGGUCACAAAAUAAGAAAAAAAAAGAGCAUAAUUCUUUUAUUAUAAAGAAUUGAGAUAUAAAUUAUAGUUUUUGGAUAAAAAUUAUAAAUGAUGUAUAGAAGUUACACCAAUAAAUAUUCCAGGCAAUAAAUAUUCCAAUAACCAUAGAAAUGAUGAGAGUGUAUUGUAAAAUGGUAUGAAGAGCAAAAAAAGAAGAUAUUAUAUUCAAGAAGUCAUCGCUAUAGGAAUUUUAUUCUUAUAAAAGAUCAGUAUAUUAUAAAACUGUUGCGGUAUUGUUGAUAGUUUACUUUCGACAUGAAGUACACUUCGCUGGACGAGGUUAUUCACGUAAGAGCGUUGAGAAAACCUCCACUGAAAAUAAUGAGACUGGUGAGCAUCAUUCCCUAUAAACAUUAUUGGGAUAGAAUAACUACAAGAAACGCCCAUCUAGCAGGUAGAAGGAUUGACCUUCCUACCAACUAAAAGUUGUGUAUAGAUCUUUAUUCCACAAUUCGGAAAAGCAGAGUAGCUUCUGUUAGGUAAAUAUCAACGGAAAGGUCUCAUGUCCUGAUAGCUGCACAUAUGUAAUUAUCUAACCCUCCUUAGAUAUUUCAAUUAACAUACGCCCUGUUUUAGUACGAAUUAAGUCGUGUUCUAUGUAAAACUGGCAUGUACGCACCCAUGAGUGUGUGUGUGUGUGGUUAGAGCUCUGAUAAACAGAUACCUGCUAGUGGUAACCAUGCUGGAGCCGUUUUGGGUUAAGCGGUACCUCACUGAUCUUGCUUGAUGAGAACAGUGAUAUUAGGGCAUCUUGUGGAAUGAAAAAGAAAAUCUGUAAUAAAGGCGGAUGAACUCAAGGAAUCGGCAACCAUCUAGUAGUAUAAACUUUUAUAGAUCUAUGUGUGCAUUCGCAUGUUUUCAAUUUCACUGCAAACCAGCACCGAUUCAACUUUCUGGCUAUCUUUACUGUUUCCAGUAUAACGGUGUUUAUCACAUAAAAAUUUAUCGCUAUAAAAAUUGAUGUACUAGUGCUAUUGCCGUCGUUUCAUCUUCCCAAGCUCAUAUCAAGACUCGGACUAUUUGGACCUUUCUUUGAAGCGGUAGGAGGUAAAAUAAGAUCAAAUAACAACAUAAGAACACUAUAGUAAGGAAACAAGAACUGUUUCACUGUCAUGAAGGGCAAAAACAACUGUUAUCUGCUGCAGUAUUUGGAAUUCUCAAUUCCGUUUUGAAGGAUAUCAUUAACGUCCCAUCAGAUACUAUACGCUAUAAAUGAUAAUUUUUUUCCGAAUAGACAUGAUGCCACACAUUCCAAGUUGAGAUAUUUAUCAUUUUCCAAAGACAUUAUAAAUGAUAAAGACAUUGUAGUCUAGUUCAAAUGAUAGUUUCGAUAACCAGUGGUACUUAUAAAUGAAAGUAAAAAUCUUUUUCACUAUUGUUAUUGCUUUGGAGAGUUUGCUCACUAAUCGAAUGGAUCACUGGUUUUCAAGCAUUUCUUAUCUGGACCCCUUUGAUUAUUAUUUUACUCUGGUGGACCCCCAUAUCCAUUCGCUGUUUAAAAACUAGUUUCAUAGAUACUAUUUUUCAGAAUUUCUACUUUGUUUUUCACACGUUCACUUUUAUAACUUUGCAAUAGCACUCUCUGAGAGAACAAGUCUCAGUGGCUACAGAAAUGGUGAACUAAAAUAUAAUAAAAAAACAACCUAACUGUUUCUCGCAAUAAAUUCAUCUAAAUCAAAAAUUUUCGACGGAUAUUUAAAAUACUACUGUAGAUACUCAAUUUACUCUUUUGCUUGCUUGGACCACUAAAAAUCUUAAAUGAACCUCCAGGAGUCAUAUGGAAGACGGUUGGGAACCACUGGAAUAAAUCUAGGGUUAAAGAUGUUCUGUGAUCAUCUUUUCGAAUAUAUUUAUUUUUAUUGUGAAGAUGAUAUGUUUGGAUACGAAAGCGAUUUGGUUCCUGUUUCUAGCAUGUCAAUCGAUCUGACAGAGGUUCCCUAUGAGAGGGAUUUGUAUAAGCUAUAAAAUUUCAUCCUAUAUACUGUUGUUAAUUGUUGGUAAUUUCCAGCAUCUACACACUUCUUUUUCAUAAGAGAUGCGAAUGAAAAGAUAAAUCUGGUUAGAAUAAAUUUAACAUAUAUAUAUACAUAUAUAUAUAUAUAUAUAUAUAUAUAUAUAUAUAUAUAUAUAUAUAUAUAUACGUACGUAUUGUGUGUGUGUGUGUGUGUGUGUGUGUGUGUGUGGUUUAUUGCUUGGCUCUAUAUUGGAUCCAAUCGAGCAAAUCUUUGAUCAAAAGGAGUCCAGACGUACAUGUUUUAUAUUUUACCUUCGAACCACAUCCACCGUUGCCUAUUCCACCUUUAAUGUAACAGUAGAGUGUGUUUAGGGGGAAGAUGUGGUUGUUAUUUUUAGCUUAUCGAGUGAGCACAUUGGUUUGUCGAUCUAGUUUGUUGGAAUAAGAAACUGUCAUCAACUGAAAUCAUCCAAGUAAUUAGUAACCAAAAACUGAUGAAAGCAAAUGGACAUUACUGAGCAAAGCAUAACCUGAUCCAUUGGUACGACUAAGAAUGAUCAAUAUACACAAAUAUCUGGAAGAUAUAGGGACGUUGUUUUGACAAUAUUGUUGAGCUAAAAGGCCUCUGGUGAGCGUUCUGUACACUAAAUACAAAUCCGGUGGCGUCUCAUAUGUCGACCAUUUAAUCUUAUUUGAUCUUCAGAAUAGGAGUAGUUCAUAAAAAAACCCGCCAAACUCGGUUUUCGUGCCUAUCCUCAUUCAUUGUCAUAAACGUUGAGUCAUGGACCAAAAGAGUUCGAUCGCGAACACAGGCAGCAGAAAUGGGUUCCUCCGAAUGAUCUCAGGGUUCCCGCUACUCGACAGGGUGUGUAACUCUGUGACCAGUGACGCUGUCAACAUCGAGCCUACACAUUGAUUUGUAACAGCUCUGGUACUGCGGACAUGUACCAACUGGCAGGAUACCUAGGGGGAGAAUAUGAACGAGAUAGGUGGACAAUAUCCAUACCCUCAGUUCGUAACGAUUGAAAAUCCAUCUGAACAGUGUAAAGACUGUUGCUUCUGAUAGGUGCUUAUGGAAGAGGUACCUGAGGACUCUACGAUAAUCCUAGGAAUAGUAGGAGGAGUAGAUGGAUAGAUGGAUCUUAUCGGUAUUAUCUCUUAUGCUUGCUGAUUUGCAAUAUUAAACAUCUAGCCUUAUUCGCCUUUCACAUUGUAUUGGAUUACUGCCUGCAGAGUGAGUUUGAGGUUUGGGUGAGGUCAGUAUGGAGUUCAUACAUCUGCAGCAAGGUAGGGACAGAAAGUGGGACUGACAUGGGCGGUUUAUUUUUAAAUCAGGUGUGGGCAUGUGCGUGUGUAUGUAUGUGUAUGUUCGGAAAAGGUUACAUAUAUUGGAUGAGGCAGACUUUCUGCUGGAGGCCCCGGUUGUGAAGGUGGGAAGUACUUAUGGGGAAAGCUCUAAAGUGGAGAAUAUUGGAGAGAUAUAAACCUUGUUUCAAUAGCAGUAGGAGGUGUUUGUUAUGACUGUCAGGGAAAGGAAUAUCAAAGAACUUUCUUUAUGCCGAUAUCUACAUAAACUAUAAAAGCAAAAUUUUCCGAUCCUGCCCACACGAAAGAAAAUAUAUACUCACACCGAUGGAUUGGAACCUUAGAGAUUCCACUGUCAUGUUUUCCCAUCCUCACAGUCUGAGAUGCCACACACAACAUAUCACAUACAAACGCUCGCAUACAUCUCACAGGUGCAUUCUCAAGCAUGAUUAAAAGAUUGGUUACCUGCCUCGUCACCUCUUUUUUGAACCCCACCACCUCCUGUACAUACAUCAACUCCAAACCGCUCGCAUUCAAGUCCCAAACCCAGUCUGCAGGUAGUUACCCAUAACUAUGUAGAUACUCUGAUCUUAAUGCAAGGGACAUAACUCAAAAGGAAUUCCUCACUGAAGUUCUACGAGAUUUUUCGUUCCGGUUUUCACUACUCUCGUCAACCGGAUGAGGCACCUUAUAACCUUCAGCGGCAGAAAACCGUCAUCAUACUUUUUCUAAUAUCGCUUCUCGUAAUCACCGGGAUUCAGAUUUUCUCUUUAACUCUCGUGUGCGAAACUGAUCUGCAUAAUCGGAUGAAAUGGGUCUCUAAUAAUGUAUUGUAAAAACAUACAUACAUACAUACAUACAUACAUACAUACAUACAUACAUACAUACAUACAUACAUACAUACAUACAUACAUACAUACAUACAUACAUACAUACAUACAUACAUACAUACAUACACACAUACAUACAUAAAUGCAUGUAGUGUCCAGGUCAGUCUGGAACAGGAUAGAAAAAAAGAAAACACCCACUGAUAAAGUUGACCAUAUUGAAACCGGUGGGUCAGAAGAAUAUUACUGGAGUUUAAAUAUUAAAGCAGCUACCAAUUUAAAACGCAACCGGCCAGAUAUUGGUCAUCAGUAGAGACUUCAUACUUGAAAUCUUCAAAGCCACAGUCGAACUAAUUCUACUAUAUGGCUCAGAAACCUGGACGUUAUCAAAGAAGCUUGAGAGGCGGUUGGAGGGAACCUACACUCGCCUCCUUAUGAAAGCUCAAAAUCUCUCGUGGAAGCGCCAUCCAACCAAAAUGCAAAUAUAUGGGAAACUACCACCUGUGUCAUCUCUUGUGAAAGGUAGGAGAGUCCAGUUUGCUGGACAUUGUUGUAGAGCUGAAAAAGAGGUAAUUUCUACUCUUCUCCUCUGGAAGCCAUCUACUCGCAAUACCAGAGGGCGCACACUCUCCUACCCUGAUGUAAUCUCCCGGGAUACAGGCAUCCAGCAACAGGACCUCCGUAAUGCCAUGAUGGACCGUGAAGUCUGGCGUAGCAGGGUAAAUUCCAUUGUAUCGACCACGGUCGAACAAUGAUGAUGAUGAGAUAUUGUUAUGUGAACCGCAUAGAAAAGAUAUGUUCUUUUGUAGAAAUCCGCUACCCUCUGGACACCAAUGUGGUUAAAAGAAUACAAGAGGAAGAGAACAUCCAUGGACCAUUGAUGAGAAGUUUGCAGCUUCAUAUCUAUCUAUUAUUAUUAUUAUUAUUAUUGGAGCAACAGGAUACAUUCCAACAAACCUGAAGCAAAGUAUGGCUAAACUUGGGAUCUUGGGAAGAGAAAGCAUAUCCUUAAUUAAUAUGCCACAGAUGUCACGAUAUCUGCAAGACCUUAAAGAUUUCGAGGAUGAUGGUUAAAACAAGAUGCUUUCCUUCACAACCUUGCUACCCAGGAGGGGCCUGCCAAAAUUUAUUCAAAAUUUAUUCUAAAUUAUAAACAUACAUACAUACAUACAUACAUACAUACAUACAUACAUACGUACGUACAUAUAUGCACAAACAUACACACAAACGCAUGCACACGCACACACACACAUACAUGUACCUGUGUGUGUGAGUGUGUGCUCGCGCGUCUGUGUGUGUGUGUGUGCGCGCGCAUAUCCACUUAUGUAUGUAUGUAUGUAUGUGUAUGUAUGUAUGUAUGUAUGUGUGUAUGUAUGUAUGAAUGUGGGUAUGUAUGUAUGUAUGUGUAUGUAUGUAUGCAUGUAUGUGUGUGUAUGUAUGGAUGUAUGUAUGUAUGUAUGUACGUAUGUAUGCGUGUAUGUAUAUAAUCAUUUCUAGCAUAGGUACAAAACUACAUAUUUUGAGGAAGAAUAUUCCUUUAUUUCACUCAUAUGUUAAUUUAUCAAAUCUUCAGAAAGAAGAGUUGAUCUGAGCGGGAUUUGAACUCAUUGCGUAUAGAGCCGUGACUAAAUGCCACAAAACAUUUUCCUUACCGAAUUAACUCUACUGACAAUCCAACGCCCUUUACAGUAAUAAAUUCAAUGCAACAGCCUCGCUUUCAUAUUUCUCCAAGCUGUUGCUAGUGGUUACAUCACAAUGAUUUAAUAGCGACAGCAGCAGCAGCAUGUUAAAGUAUUUGGUGUAUGUUUUCACGUGUGUUCGUGUGUGUGUGUGUCUGGUGGUAUGCGUUUGUAUGUAUGUAUGUCUGUGUGUAUGUAUGUAUGUAUGUAUGUAUGUAUGUAUGUAUGUAUGUAUGUAUGUAUGUAUGUAUGUAUGUAUGUAUGUGUAUGUAUGUAUGUAUGUGUGUAUGUAUGUAUGUGUGUGUAUGUAUGUAUGUAUGUAUGUGUGUGUAUGUAUGUAUGUAUGUAUGUAUGUAUGUAUGUAUGUAUGUAUGUAUGUGUAUGUAUGUAUGUAUGUAUGUGUGUGUGUAUGUAUGUAUGUAUGUAUGUGUGUGUGUGUAUGUAUGUAUGUAUGUAUGUAUGUGUGUGUGUGUAUGUAUGUAUGUAUGUAUGUAUGUAUGUAUGUAUGUAUGUAUGUAUGUGUAUGUAUGUAUGUAUGAAUGUGUGUAUGUAUGUAUGUGUGUGUAUGUAUGUGUGUGUAUGUAUGUAUGUAUGUAUGUAUGUGUGUGUAUGUAUGUAUGUAUGUAUGUAUGAUGUAUGUAUGUAUGUAUGUAUGUAUGUAUGUAUGUAUGUAUGUGUGUGUUGUUGUUGGUGGUGGUUGUGUUGGUGGUGGUGGUGGUGGUGGUGGUGGUGGUGGUGGUGGUGGUGGUUGUGUUGGUGGUGUGUGGUGGUGGUGGUGGUGGUGGUGGUGGUUGUGGUGGUGGUGGUUGUGUUGGUGGUGGUGGUGGUGGUUGUGUUGGUGGUGGUGGUGGUGGUGGUGGUGGUGGUGGUGGUGGUGGUUGUAGGUGAUGGCGUUAAAAGUGGACAUUCAAAACAAGCAGGCAGAUAAGCCAUUGCUGUAAUUCAGAGCCGCUCUGGAAUAAUAAAGUGAUGGAUGUUAAGAUCCACAAAUUAUUAAUGAGUAGAAUAUAUCACCAAAAAGUCACUGCGCACCACAUGUGUGCACAUACACUCAAACAUGCAGCACACUACAUCAACGCACUUAUGCACGGGAACAUGUGCAGGCAUAUAUAAACUUCCAUACACAGACGAGCACGCGCUGCUACGUACAUUUACGCACUUGCGUAUUAAUGCAUAAACCUGCAUAUGCAAGCCUGCACACAGUCACGUGCAAUAUACAUAUACUAUAUAUAUAUAUGUGUGUUGUUGUAUAUGCAUGUAUGUAAGAACGCAUACACACACAUGCACUCACACAAAUACACACAUAACGUAUUGAGAGGGGGUUAGGCGGCGGAAGGUCGUGAUUGAGAAGAAAGAUUAAACCUUGAUAAAGCUGACAUCACUGGCGCUUCCAAAUAACCAAUAGAAUAUCAUUUAAACAUAUAAAGUACUGCAUCAAAAUAAAAACUAUACCACACAGCACUGCUAGUGAAAAAGCCACAGGGAAUAUUAACCAAUUCAUAAUCAAUAAUAUUAAUCUUCGCCAAGUCUAUGGAACUAAAAGUCUUUAGAGACAUCGUGGCAUGAGAGAGAAAGCAGAAAACAAACGUCUGUAUAUAUUUAUAUACACUCUGGCUAGAGUUAGUAUAGAUUCUAGUAGUAAGUACCCAUCGUUUUUCCUCGGUUAAUACUAUAAAUAUAAAUCAGAUAGAUACUAGACGCAGUGGAUUGCAGUGUUUUGCAUUUUGCACAUUUCCCAUUAGUUAUCUAGAUCUGUUUUGCAAUGUUUAAGUCACCGAAAGUCAUAAUACAAGCAGAAUGAUGUGGUUGCCUCACAUAGAAAUCUGGUGAAGGUAUCCUACAGGGAACCGCUCAAAGCUAUAGAAUCUGGAUUUAUCUCUUGUUCCCAGCAUUAUGAAGCGGUGAAAGAAACGCAUUUUCCAGGACAGAGCACUUUGUCUGGAGUAACUCACUUAUUUGUCGUGAGAAUUAAGCUCAGUAUUGCUUGGUACCAAACCCUUCACCAAUUUCAGUGCGCAGCUGCUGCCUACGUUGUGAAUUGUAUCCAAUACAACGGCAUUUUAUAGCUUGACAAACUAAAUCAUGAAGACGCUUCGUUAAUGUUGCGCAGUAAUUCCUAUAGUUCUUGAAACGUAUCUUAGGGAGAAACAAUUAAGGAUAUGAAGGCCACUGGAUACAAAUAUCACAAGGGGAGUCCUUUAAUAUUAGGUCCUUUCUGGAACCAAGACUUUGUAUUUAUAAGAGGCAAACUUUUAUCCGGGGUAUUUUUUGUGGAAAAAUGAGCGCCUGUCGAAUUCAGUCAUUAGCUAUUUAAAAUAGUAUGUUAACUAAAUAAAAGACAUUUUCUGUGAGUAAUAUGUACUUUUGUUCAUUCUGUAAACUGCUGACCCUCACUUUCUCAUACGUUACCAUGUCCAUUUAGUUAUAUAUUAAGAUGUUUACUGGUCAAUUAGUAUUUGUUGUUAACAGAAUAUGAAAUAAUUUAGGCUAAUUUUCGUAGGACUAGCUGUCAGCUUUGGGUGAGGUGGUCCGAUCUUAUGACACGGGCAAAGCCAACUUAUUUUUUUCAAAAGCAGUCCUAUGGCCGUGAAGUAAUGAAUGUUCCUAUAAAUUCCCUUCCUCAUUUCGCAUCCAAUGUCUUAUCGAUAUCAGCAGACAUUUUGGUGUACUCUGUACGGCUAGAAUUGUGUUUAUAUAGUACGGAGUAUGUCUCCAAAUUUCAAUUCUAAAUUGAAUUCAUUUCUUAUUACUCACAUUAAUUAGUAAUAGGUUUUCAAAAGACAUUAAAACUUCUCAACCAUCUUCUAUAUUAAAUCAUAUGCCCUGCAACUUUAUGUCUGUGGUAGUUUAAUAUAUUUGGCACAUACACUUCUGCACACAAACGUUCGUUAUUCAGUAUUAUGGCGUAAUGGAUAUAUUCUCCCAGUGCCGAGAGUAAAGUCAUUAUGACAGUCUAUUUUCUCCAUAUAAAACUAUGUAUACACAAAACAGCAUUGUUACACAGAUAUACUACUGAUGCCUCUGGUAUUGUAAUUAUUACAUAAAAUUUAAGAAAGCCAUAAUGUAUAGAUAUUUUACUUACGAUAAUAUUGUGUAAGAUGCGAUCUGAACAUGCAGAUCUGUCUUGAUUUUUAGUCGAACUAAUGCAAUUUAUUUUUGUCAUUACUUUCCUUGAGAGAAGUAUGACUGUCACACAUUAUGAUUACUUACUUUCUCUUUAAAUUUCAUUGGUUUUAGUACUUUAGUUUAGUCAUCACGGUUAAACCCCCUGCUUGCCUUCAAAUGAUAUAUUAAAUAUUUUAUUGCUUUUUUUCAUCGAAACUAAGGGAAAACAGCCGAAUUCAGAGCCCGGUAGUAUUACUGUUUUCCUUUUGGCUAAGAGGAAAAUACUAACAUUCUUAAAAGGAAACAAUUUUGAUACUAACGCGCGAAUAUGAAACUCUCGAAGUAUGAGAGUAGGUGAUAACCAUUCUUGACUUGGAGUUCCUACCAAACGAUAAUGAACGAAUCAAAAUUAAAAUCCGUAGGGGAAACAAUCUCAUUUAUUCUGACACUUCAUUGACUCAGCCAUUUCUAUAGCUCUUCCAACAAUAACAGUGCCAGUUACAAGUUCUAGUGAUGAAACUUCCAUUUUAGUCGAGCUUGUGAUAAAGAUUCUAUGUGGCCUCUUGAUUUGCUCACUGUAGUAACUAAAUCUGUUUGAAUACUAUCAUUAACAACUAUAAAAUAGAAAGCAUAUUUGAAGCGUUAAACGAUGCAAUCACAACGUCACAAUUAUACAAGAACGCUUCUUUCGUUCAAGUAAUUCAAGUCAAGCUUUGUUGACCGGACUUACCUAACAAGAAUAUCAGCAGAAACCGCAGCAGCAACAACAACAAAUAACAAAAAAAUAGUAACAAAUGUAACACCAGGUACAACUACAAAAAAAAAGAGAAAAUAAUAAUAAUAAUAAAAAGGAAAUAGAUUGGAAAAUAUUAUUGGAAGAAAUUUCAAGAUGGUCAACAGCUCGACAAUUAUCGUAAUUAUGCUAAAUGUUGUUUUGAUAAUAAUGUUAACAUCGAAUACAGCAAUAUCUUCUCAUUAAUGUUGGGAUUAAUAACAGUAGCAUUCUGUUCCCAAAUAUUCUCUUGUCUAUUUAUGUUAAAUCGCUGCAUAAUGACUAGAUUUAUUGCAUCUGCUUUCAUAUACGAUGUUGUAUUUUACGAUUGUCAUUUCUUGACUAUUUAUCAUGUCUGUCGCCGGACAGUCUCAUAAUCUUUUUGUCCUCUCCUGAGACGUUCACUGAUUUCCUGAAGAUGCUGUUUUACAUUGUCCAUACCAUUACUGUGACACAGAACUACCGAAAUUUUUGUUGCUACUGAUGGUGGUGGUGUGGUAGAUGGUGGUGAUGGUGCUGCUGCUGCUGCUGUUCUUGCUACUGCCGGUGCUGCUGGUAUGGGGGUGACGAUGGUGGUUUUUGCUGUAGCGGUUAUUACUAUGACACUGAACUAUCGAAAUUUGUUUUGUUGCUACUGAUGGUAGUCGUGGUGGUGGUAGAUGUGUUGUUGUUGUUGUUACUGAUGGUAGUGUGGUAGUGACAAUGGCGGUUCUUGUUUUAGCAAUUGUUGUUGCUAAGGUAGUUAGUGGUGGUAGAAAUUGUCCUAGUGGUAGUUGUAGUCUAACCAGAAGUUAGUGCAGCUACGACCAAAUUGGGUUUUCUUUUCGUUUCUUUCUAUUUUUUUUUUUUUUGGCUUUUUGUUUUCCAGAUCCCCCUAUCCUUUCUAAGACAAAAGAAAAGUAAGACAGGAGGGAAAAUAAUAUGAAAAUUUAUAAAGAAGAAUUUAUUUAUUUAUUUAUUUAUUUGCGUAUAUACGGUAGGGUACGAUAUGAAUUUAAUUUAACAACUGUUUCUCGCAUGUCGAACGGACGUAUACAACUUGUCAUCUCACUAACUCGAAUAGAGAUAGGUUAAUGAAAGUUGAGGUGCCGAUGGCAGUGAUGAUCGUGUUGUUGAUUUGUAUUGGUAAUAACGUUGAUAGUGGUGCUGGUGCUGCUAUUGGGACAUGGCUAGCAAUUGCAGUAGUAAUCAGUGUGAUAACUACUAUGCUGGUGAUGGCAGAGGGUGGGAUGGACUUGCUGGCGGGCAACAGAAGUGACCAUCGAAGAAAUAAAUAGCUGUGACAAUAGUACUAGAAAUUAAUGAUUGUGGUAGGGAAUGAUGAUGAUGAUGAUGAUGAUGAUGUGGUGGUGGUGGUGGUGGUGGUGUUGGUUGUUGCUGUGGUUGUGGUAAUAAUGGUGGUGAUGAAGCCAUGGUUAUGAAUGCAGUACAGAUAGCAUAAAAAUAUAUUACUACAACUACUGUUAUAAAAAUAAUGAUAAUAAUAAUAAUAAUAAUAAUGAUAAUAAUAAUAAUAAUGAUAAUAAUAAUAAUAAUAAUAAUAAUAAUAAUAAUAAUAAUGAUAAUAAUAAUAAUAAUAAUAAUGAUAAUAAUGAUAAUAAUAAUAAUAAUAAUAAUAAUAAUAAUAAUAAUAAUAAUAAUAAUAAUAAUGAUAAUAAUAAUAAUAAUGAUAAUAAUAAUAAUAAUAAUAAUAAUAAUAAUGAUGAUGAUGAUAAUAAUGAUGAUGAUGAUAAUAAUGAUGAUGAUAAUAAUAAUAAUGAUAAUAAUAAUAAUAAUUAUGAUGAUAAUAAUAAUAAUAAUAAUAAUAAUAAUAAUAAUAAUAAUAAUAAUAAUAAUAAUAAUAAGAAGAAGAAGAAGAAGAAGAAGAAGAAGAAGAAGAAUUGUUUCAAAUUUUGGCUCAAGGCUAGCUAUUUUAGGUGGAGGUAGUUAGUCGAUUACGUUGACCCCAGUACAUGACUGAUACUUUAUUUUAUCAACCUGUAGCGGAGGAAAGGCAGAGUUAAUUUCGGAUGGUAUUGAACUCGGAACGUAAAGAAUCAAAACAAAUACUGAAAACCAAUCCAUCUGUCGCUAUAACGUUUAUUCGAUAAACAUUUCCGAUAUAGGCACAAGGUCAGAAUGUCGGGAAAAGGAAACAGUUGACACUAGUGCUUGAUUGGUACUGUAUUAUAUGAAGCACAGGAGUAUAUAAGCUAAACGUGAUCUCGGUGAGAAGGCAGUGGCUAUAGUGGCAGUGGUUGUGAUACAUGGAGACGAUAUUUGCACUUAUAAUUAGCAUUCUUCGGUCAGCAAAAGGUGUGCGAAAAUGAACGACUCUGCUAGACAACUUUCCUAAAAUUUUGUUUUACUGUCAGCAUCUAUUUACUGCUUCAAUCAGUUCAUUAGAGUGUAGUUAUGUUGUCAUCAUAUUUUAUUGAGCUUCUAUAUAUCUCUGCUAAAGGAGGCAUAUGAUCGAAGAUCUUCCAGCCUUAACAAUUGUAUCUUUCUGAUACACAUGACAUUAUCCAGUGUGUACCACUUAUAUUUUGAGAUGUUAUAGUGUGAAUUUAAGGGUUAUGUAGUUGCUAUUUCUAUGACGUUGGUAUCUCAAGUCUAACGGUGUUUGGACGCAUGGUAGAGAUUGGUAGUGAGAUUGGUGAUAACUGAAUAAUGAUGAUGUUGUAUUUUCAUAUUUAUAUUGAUGGAUGGAGAACCAGUAACAACUGACAAUGAAGUUUCCUCUGCACUCAACUUGCAAGAUAUUGCGCCCUAAUAUCGCUUAAAUCAAAUUUUAUCGUCUUGGCCAAGGACAGAUCUAAUGGACAGUAUAGCUGUAAAGUUAAACUAAAUAUACCUGUAAUGCGUUUGAUCAUAUUUUUUCUCAGUCAAGAAUGACCUAAGCAACAACAUAUACUAUUUAUUCUCAAAAGUAUUUGAAGCAAAUGAAAUAUAAUGGUUAUUGAGAAUUUACACCCAAUACUGUAGUCGAUGUUCUAUAGGGGUUAACCUCUCUACUUAAAUCAAUUAACACAUUGACAGAUUUGGAAGAAAUUAAUUUCUUUAAAUUAAGACUUAUUUAUAAUCCUUUUCAACAUCUUGGUUUAUAUUUUAGUGACCUUUGAGUGAGUACAAAUAGGUACGAAAUACCCAGGAAGUUUGAGCACACACAAUGAAGAACGUAACUAAAUACAUUAAAUUAUUUAGUUCACUGCUCUGCAUAGUCUGUCGACUCAGUCACUUGAAGGCAUUGUAUUAUAUUGAUGUCUUAUAUAGGUAAAAAUAAAAAAAAGGAGUCCGUUUUAUGGCUGAGACGAAAUGUAAUUAUGUCAUAUGGCCUUUCUCAGCAACAUUACUACUGAAAAUGAAAUGAAAUUAAUUCAACUGAAAAUCGAGGUAACUAAAGAAAAUAUCGAAAUACAAGCACUGGGAUAGCAAUAUCCAUUUUAGUGUAAACAGGAAAUAAGAAAUAAAUGCUACUGCACGAUGGCAGAACGAAGAUGCGAUAAUAAAACUGACCCUCAUUCCCUCGUCAGAUCAACGCCUUCAUAAUUUUUAAGAUAUAACAAGAAUUUACACUCAUGUGUUAAUGAAAAUCUGGUUUAAUAUGGAAACAGUCGAGUAAUUUAUAGCUUAAGUGAAUGGCCAAUCGCAUUUAAUAAUCAUAUUCUCUGUUGAUUUUGAAGAUUUAAACCACGAACUAUUUCUCUAAGGUGCAUUUCAUUUUAUAUAGCGGAAUGUAUGAGUUAAGACUUAAAGUCUGUAGCAUACAACAGGGAAACGGUAGUUGAGGUGUGUACUACUAUUUCUAUAUGUGUGAUAGGUAGAUAGAUAGAUAGAUAGAUAGAUAGAUAGAUAGAUAGAUAGAUAGAUAGUUAGAUAGAUAGAUAGAUAGAUAGAUAGUUAGAUAGAUAGAUAGAUAGAUAGAUAGAUGAUAGAUAGAUAGAUAGAUAGAUAGAUAGAUAGAUAGAUAGAUAGAUAGAUAGAUAGAUAGAUAGAUAGAUAGAUAGAUAGAUAGAUAGAUAGAUAGUUAGAUAGAUAGAUAGAUAGAUGAUAGAUAGAUAGAUAGAUAGAUAGAUAGAUAGAUAGAUAGAUAGAUAGAUAGAUAGAUAGAUAGACAGAUAGAUAGAUAGGCAGGCAACAGGUAGGUAGGUAGGUAAGUACGUAGGUAGGUGGGUGAUAUUAAGAGAAAGACAGAACAUAACAUUGAUAGAGAGACUGAAAUACAGAUGAAAAACAAGAAAGAAAAAUAAGAGAAAAAAUGCCAAUAACAACAACAAAAAAAGUCAGAUUUAUAUAUAUUUGGAUUCUAAGAAAAUUAAGUGAAUUUAAUCUAUUCUAUUGUCGUAAAUAUAUGAAAAUAUUUAUUUGUUUUUCUAUUGUAAUUAAUUAAACGUUAUUCUCUAUCAUUGCAGGUAUUGUCUUACGGCAGCAGUGAACAUUGUGAAGACGGAACAAAUUAUAUUUAGAACUUUCUCCUAUGGAAAAAACAAAACGCAAAUAAAAAAAACAAAAGAAAGUAAAACAGAAUAAAUCAGCCUACAAGUAAAAAAAAAAUUGAUGUUGUUUAUAAUAUAGAAAUUUAA